CUCACUGGCCUCCAAGUUUUCUAGGAUGAUGCAAUGUCCAGCCAUCAACACAUUUGUGAAGGAAUUUUUACUCCCCAAAAGAGCGCCCCCCCAUGGCAGGAGAAAAAAGUGCAUUUUUUCUUGUCCCCUAAGGUGAAAACACACAUUGUAGAGUGUCAUGCCUGAACGCUUUGUCAUAUUGACACAAAAUUUGACAAUCACGUGUAUCUCAAUAAGAUCUACGAAAAAGUCAAAGAGCGCGUAUGUGUAUAAUGUACGGUAAAAGGGCUAUUUUGCAUUUUUUGCCGAUUUGCACACAUUGGAAUGUGGCUAACUCCUCCUAAGGCUUUCGUCCCAAUGACACCAAAUUUGCUCAGGCCAAUCUACAACCCAUGGCCAUUCAAAGUUGUAAAAAUCAUGACGCUGCACCCCACGGUUUACGUUCUAGGGGGCGCCAAAGAUGACCCAAAAAUCCACAUUCUUAAAAGUCAUUUUGGCCACUGCAGGAGUAAAGAGUACUGCAGUUCUAGGGGGCGCCAAAGAUGACCCAAAAAUCCACAUUCUUAAAAGUCUUUUUGGUCACUGCAGGAGUACAGAGUACUGCAGGAUACACACACACACACACACACACACACACACACACACACACACACACACACACACACACACACACACACACACUCAGAGUCUGUUUUUUAGCACCUGCAAAAACAUGCUGUUUACAUAUUUGACAAGAAUGCAGAGGCUUCCUUUUGCCCCUGAAAAAAAUCAAAUUUCAAACACAACUUGACUGUUCAUUUCUCCAAAAGACAACCAUGAAGCUCCAUCCAAACCUGAAGCAGGCAGUUGGUGCAUGUGUACAGUAACCUGAGGGGAGUGAGGUGACUGCUUCUGAGGAGAACAUGAGCAGUGAAGAUUCACCUUGGAGCGAGAACAGGGACGUGCACAUGAUUAUACAGGGGCAGGGGCUCAAGUUUUUUCCAGUCGUUUAUACAAUAUGGAAAUUAAUGUGAAAUUAAAAAACAAAGUAUUAAUAGAAAGGUAAUGACUGUCCUGUGUAGGUGACAGUGAUAUCCAAUAGGCUAGGCACUCACGAGGCUGGCUGUGGCAAGUGUAAGUGAAAGCAACACGCACUGGCAGGAAGAACAGCAAACCCCGAUGAAGGAAAAGGGUCUUUGCAGUGAUGGGCGUCACCAGAGAGGACGAUGGCCAGAGGACGCGAAUGGGACGGGGAGGCAGCACGUUGGGGGGGGGCGCGACACAGCUCGGGCCCGCCAGUGCCCCAACGGGGCCCUAGUUAGGGCCCGAGCGUAGCUGCUAAGCAGCUGCGAGAGCCCUAUUAUUCCCCAAGUGGUUUUUCUUUGUUUCUUUCUUAGGGCCCGAGCCAGCUGCAGAGCAGCCGGGCGUAGGCCCUAUUAUUCCCCAAGUGGUUUUUCUUUGUUUCUUUCUUUAGGGCCCGAGCGUAGCUGCUAAGCAGCUGCGAGAGCCCUAUUAUUCCUGAUGGAUUCUUCUUUAGGGCCCGAGCGUAGCUGCUAAGCAGCUGCGAGAGCCCUCUUGUUCCUGUAGUUUCCUUCUUUUGUUAUUAUUAUUUUUCCUCCCCUUUGAACUGGAAAAUGGCCCACUUCCCACUGGCGAAAACUCAUGAAAUUUGGCAGGACGACCGGGCCUGGUGAAAAAUUUGAUAUUCCGAAGUCGCCCAAACAAGAAAAUGCAAAAUGGCUCCAUAGCGCCCCCUAAGGUGAAAAUUCACACUAUUCACUGUCACGCCUGUACGCUUUGUCAAAAUGACACAAAAAUUGACACACACAUGUAUCUCAAUAAGAUCUACAAAAAAGUCAGUGCGGGCGUAUCUGUCAAAUGUACGGUUAAAGGGUUAUUUCGCAUUUUUUGCCGAUCCGCACACAUUGGAAUUUCGCUAACUCCUCCGAAGGCUUUCGUUCCACCGGCACCACAUUUGCUCAGGCCAAUCUACACCCCAUGGCCAUUAAAAGUUAUUCAAAUCAUGACGCUGCACCCCACGGUUUAGGUUCUAGGGGGCGCCAAAGAUAACCCUAAGAUCCACAUAUUUAAAAGUCUUAUAACUUUUUAUUUUUGCCCUCACUGGCCUCCAAGUUUUCUAGGAUGAUGCAAUGUCCAGCCAUCAACACAUUUGUGAAGGAAUUUUUACUCCCCAAAAGAGCGCCCCCCCAUGGCAGGAGAAAAAAGUCCAUUUUUUCUUGUCCCCUAAGGUGAAAAUACACAUUGUUGAGUGUAACACCUGUACGCUUUGGCAAAAUGACACAAAAAUUGACACACACAUGUAUCUCAAUAAGAUCUACGAAAAAGUCAAUGCGCGCGUAUCUGUCAAAUGUACGGUUAAAGGGUUAUUGCGCAUUUUUUGCCGAUCCGCACACAUUGGAAUUUCGCUAACUCCUCCGAAGGCUUUCGUUCCACCGGCACCACAUUUGCUCAGGCCAAUCUACACCCCAUGGCCAUUAAAAGUUAUUCAAAUCAUGACGCUGCACCCCACGGUUUAGGUUCUAGGGGGCGCCAAAGAUAACCCUAAAAUCCACAUAUUUAAAAGUCUUAUAACUUUUUAUUUUUGUCCCCACUGGCCUCCAAGUUUUCUAGGAUGAUGCAAUGUCCAGCCAUCAACACAUUUGUGAAGGAAUUUUUACUCGGCAAAAGAGCGCCCCCCCAUGGCAGGAGAAAAAAGUCAAUUUUUUCUUGUCCACUAAGGUGAAAAUACACAUUGUUGAGUGCUACGCCUGUAUGUUUUGUCGUAUUGACACAAAAUUUUACAUACACGUGUAUUUCAAUAAGAUCUUCGAAAAAGUCAAUGGCCAUGUAUCUGUAAAAUGUACAGUUAAAGGGUUAUUUCGCAUUUUUUGCAGAUUCGCACACAUUGGGAUUUCGCUAAUUCCUCCGAAGGCUUUCGUUCCACCGGCACCACAUUUGCUCAGGCCAAUCUACACCCCAUGGCCAUUAAAGGUUAUUCAAAUCAUGACGCUGCACCCCACGGUUUAGGUUCUAGGGGGCGCCAAAUAUAACCCUAAAAUCCACAUAUUUAAAAGUCUUAUAACUUUUUAUUUUUGUCCUCACUGGCCUCCAUGUUUUCUAGGAUGAUGCAAUGUCCAGCCAUCAACACAUUUGUGAAGGAGUUUUUUCUCUUUAAAAGAGCGCCCCCCCAUGGCAGGAGAAUAAAGUCAAGUUUUUCCUGUUCAUCAUUCAAUGGCUCAAACGCACUGCUCUCUCGGCAAAAGCGAAAGGAGGAGCAACUUGCCAUUUGGAUAUAUCUUAGCUGUGUUUGUGCCCUCACUCAUGGUCCAGACUUUUUUCAAAUAGGACAUGGAGUUUUUCUGCAGCGAGCGUUUUGGUAGAAACUGCGCCUCCCGUUCAUUAUAAUGGUAAAUGACCACAAACAAGUGCGCACACCAUCUUUGGACCUUGAGUGUGACGCGAUCGGGUGGGGGAGGCGGUCGCGCUGGGGGCGGCGUGACACGGCUCGGGCCCGCCAGUGCCCCAACGGGGCCCUAGUUCUUCUUCUUCUUAUUAUUAUUUUUCUGCCCCUUUGAACUGGAAAAUGGCCCACUUCCCACUGGUGAAAACUCAUGAAAUUUGGCAGGACGACCGGGCCUGGUGAAAAAUUCGAUAUUCUGAAGUCACCCAAACAAUCAAAUGCAAAAUGGCUCCAUAGCGCCCCCUAAGGUGAAAAAUUCACAUGAUUGAGUGUCACGCCUGUACGCUUUGUCAAAAUGACACAAAAUUUGACACACACGUGUAUCUCAAUAAGAUCUACAAAAAAGUCAGUGCGGGCGUAUCUGUCAAAUGUACGGUUAAAGGGCUAUUUCGCAUUUUUUGCCGAUCCGCACACAUUGGAAUUUCGCUAACUCCUCCGAAGGCUUUCGUUCCACCGGCACCAAAUUUGCUCAGGCCAAUCUACACCCCAUGGCCAUUCAAAGUUGUACAAAUCAUGACGCUGCACCCCACGGUUUACGUUGUAGGGGGCGCCAAAGAUAACCCAAAAAUCCACAUUCUUACAAGUCUUAUAACUUUUUAUUUUUGUCCUCACUGGCCUCCAAGUUUUCUAGGAUGAUGCAAUGUCCAGCCAUCAACACAUUUGUGAAGGAAUUUUUACUCCCCAAAAGAGCGCCCCCCCAUGGCAGGAGAAAAAAGGCCAUUUUUUCUUGUCCUAUAAGGUGAAAAUACACAUUGUUGAGUGUCACGCCUGUACGCUUUGUCAUAUUGAAACAAAAUUUGAUAAUCACGUGUAUCUCAAUAAGAUCUAUGAAAAAGUCAAUGCGCACGUGUCUGCAAAAUGUACGGUUAAAGGGCUAUUUCGCAUUUUUGGUUGAUUCGCACACAUUGGAAUGUGGCUAUCUCCUCCUAAGGCUUUCGUCCCACCGAUACCAAAUUUGCUCAGGCCAAUCUACACCCCAUGCCCAUUCAAAGUUGUAAAAAUCAUGACGCUGCACCCCACGGUUUACGUUCUAGGGGGCGCCAAAGAUGACCCAAAAAUCCACAUUCUUAAAAGUCAUUUUGGCCACUGCAGGAGUACAGAGUACUGCAGUUCUAGGGGGCGCCAAAGAUGACCCAAAAAUCCACAUUCUUAAAAGUCUUUUUGGCCACUGCAGGAGUACAGAGUACUGCAGGAUACACACACAUAUACACACACACACACACACACACACACACACACACACACACACACACACACUCAGAGUCUGUUUUUUAGCACCUGCAAAAACAUGCUGUUUACAUAUUUGACAAGAAUGCAGAGGCUUCCUUUUGCCCCUGAAAAAAAUCAGAUUUCAAACACAACUUGACUGUUCAUUUCUCCAAAAGACAACCAUGAAGCUCCAUCCAAACCUGAAGCAGAUAGUUGGUGCAUGUGUACAGUAACCUGAGGAGAGUGAGGUGACUAUUUCUGAGGAGAACAUGAGCAGUGAAGAUUCACCUUGGAGCUAGAACAGGGACGUGCACAUGAUUAUACAGGGGCAGGGGCUCAAGUUUUUUCCAGUCAUUUAUACAAUAUGGAAAUUAAUGUGAAAUUAAACCACAAAUAUCUGUGAUGAACUGUUUUUAAAACUUAAACUUCAAAUAAAAAUUGUAAACUUCAAAACAUAUGCAAAUUUUUAACAAAGAACAUAGUAAUUUACCUCUAUUUACAUCAAAAUGCAGGCAAUGGCCCAGGCGUUCUUUGUAAAAUUAUUUACAAAACACUGUAUAGUCUCACAAAUGUCACUUUUUAUUUAUGCCACUACAAAAAAACAUGAUGUAAAUGAUGCAUGAUGUAAAACAUGAUGUAAAAAACUUGUGUAGAUCCUCCUCUAUGUCAGUCCAUGUGUAAUUUUUCCAUAAUUCUUUGUUUUUUGCAGCAUUUUUGUUAGUGUAACUGCAGAUUGUGCUGACUGUCUAUGGCAAAAAAAAAAAAACUGAAAAUGCCUCAACAUGAACCCCUGGUGGUCUCUGAGGGUGAAACCUGCUAACUGCUGCAGCUCUGUCAGCUUCUGUCUCCCAUGCAGAGCUCGGAGCGCAUGUGUGGCUCUGCACCCUUAGCAGCGUUGCUAACUCCUCAGUAAGGAAAGCCUGCUUCAUGUCAGAGUCUCUAAACUCCAGAAGAAGUCGAUAAAAGUCCCUUUCUUUCUAAAAAAAGUCGUUAGGGGGUCUGAAAAGUAAUUGAAUCUAACAACAAAGUCGCUAGGUUUGCAACUACGUGUCCCAGACUGCAUCCCUGCUGAGAGUCCCUCCCUCCCUUCUCAUGUUGCAGGAAGAACGUAAGCGCCCGCCCCUUGUCAAUCAGUCACCAUAUAAUUUUGGAUUGGUUGUUGUGGUGAAGUUUUCCACCAAUAGGAGAGAUGUUGUGGUGUGUUUUUUUUUUUCUUUUGGCAAGCCUUUUCCGCCUGUAUGACCUGUCACUAAUGUGUGCAUGCAAUGUUUUCCUGUCUCAUACAGCACGAUCGAGCGCCGAACGUGAUCAAAAUAAGCAGAAAAAAAGUAUCGCGGACAUAAUUUAUCAUAACUCUGGUUUUAUUUGGCCUAUCAACACAAUUUAAAAACUGGUAUAUAGGUUGAGGUCCUCACUUUUGAGAUAAGUUGAAACGGAGAGUUAACGAGGCUCCGUCUUGCAGCUACAUCCGGUUAAAUAUGUCAUGUGACUUGAACGCUGGGGAGCGUCAAUCGAAUCGAAUCAAACCUAACUCUCAGAUGAAUCUUCAAAAUUCACCUCAGAAAUAUGCUUAUUAUUCUUCUCAGAGUACUGCAGGAUACACACACACACACACACACAGACACACACACACACACGCACACACACACACACACACACACACACACACACACACACACACACACACUCAGAGUCUGUUUUUUAGCACCUGCAAAAACAUGCUAUUUACAUAUUUGACAAGAAUGCGGAGGCUUCCUUUUGCCCCUGAAAAAAAUCAAAUUUCAGACACAACUUGACUGGUCAUUUCUCCAAAAGACAACCAUGAAGCUCCAUCCAAACCUGAAGCAGGCAGUUGGUGCAUGUGUACAGUAACCUGAGGGGAGUGAGGUGACUGCUUCUGAGGAGAACAUGAGCACUGAAGAUUCACCUUGGAGCUAGAACAGGGACGUGCACAUGAUAAUACAGGGGCAGGGGCUCAAGUUUUUUCCAGUCGUUUAUACAAUAUGGAAAUUAAUGUGAAAUUAAAAAACAAAGUAUGACUGUCCUGUGUAGGUGACAGUGAUAUCCAAUAGGCUAGGCACUCACGAGGCUGGCUGUGGCAAGUGUAAGUGAAAGCAACACGCACUGGCAGGAAGAACAGCAAACGCCGAUGAAGGAAAAGGGUCUUUGCAGUGAUGGGCGUUACCAGAGAGGGCGAUGGCCAGAGGACACGAAUGGGACGGGGAGGCAGCGCGUUGGGGGGGGGGGGGUGCGACACGGCUCGGGCCCGCCAGUGCCCCAACGGGGCCCUAGUUCUUUCUUUCUUUAGGGCCCGAGCCAGCUGCAGAGCAGCCGGGCGUAGGCCCUAUUAUUCCCCAAGUGGUUUUUCUUUGUUUCUUUCUUUCUUUAGGGCCCGAGCCAGCUGCAGAGCAGCCGGGCGUAGAGCCCUAUUAUUCCCCAAGUGGUUUUUCUUUGUUUCUUUCUUUCUUUAGGGCCCGAGCCAGCUGCAGAGCAGCCGGGCGUAGAGCCCUAUUAUUCCCCAAGUGGUUUUUCUUUGUUUCUUUGUUUCUUUCUUUCUUUAGGGCCCGAGCCAGCUGCAGAGCAGCCGGGCGUAGGCCCUAUUAUUCCCCAAGUGGUUUUUCUUUGUUUCUUUCUUUCUUUCUUUCUUUCUUUCUUUCUUUCUUCUUUUUCCUCCCCUUUGAACUGGAAAAUGGCCCACUUCCCACUGGCGAAAACUCAUGAAAUUUGGCAGGACGACCGGGCCUGGUGAAAAAUUCGAUAUUCUGAAGUCGCCCAAACAAUAAAAUGCAAAAUGGCUCCAUAGCGCCCCCUAAGGUGGAAAUUCACACUAUUGACUGUCACGCCUGUACGCUUUGUCAUAUUGACACAAAAAUUGACACACAUAUGUAUCUCAAUAAGAUCUACAAAAAAGUCAGUGCGGCCGUAUCUGUCAAAAUUACGGUUAAAGGGUUAUUUCGCAUUUUUUGCCGAUCCGCACACAUUGGAAUUUCGCUAACUCCUCCGAAGGCUUUCGUUCCACCGGCACCACAUUUGAUCAGGCCAAUCUACACCCCGUGGCCAUUAAAAGUUAUCAAAAUCAUGACGCUGCACCCCAAGGUUUAGGUUCUAGGGGGCGCCAAAGAUAACACUAAAAUCCACAUAUUUAAAAGUCUUAUAACUUUUUAUUUUUGUCCUCACUGGCCUCCAAGUUUUCUAGGAUGAUGCAAUGUCCAGCCAUCAACACAUUUGUGAAGGAAUUUUUACUCCCCAAAAGAGCGCCCCCCCAUGGCAGGAGAAAAAAGUCCAUUUUUUCUUGUCCCCUAAGGUGAAAAUACACAUUGUUGAGUGUCACGCCUAUACGCUUUGUCAAAAUGACACAAAAAUUGACACACACAUGUAACUCAAUAAGAUCUACAAAAAAGUCCAUGCGCGCGUAUCUAUCAAAUGUACAGUUAAAGGGUUAUUCCGCAUUUUUUGCCGAUACGCACACAUUGGAAUUACGCUAACUCCUCCGAAGGCUUUCGUUCCACCGGCACCACAUUUGCUCAGGCCAAUGUACACCCCAUUGCCAUUAAAAGUUAUUCAAAUCAUGAUGCUGCACCCCAUGGUUUAGGUUCUAGGGGGCGCCAAAAAUAACCCAAAAAUCCACAUUCUUAAAUGUUUUAUAACUUUUUAUUUUUGUCCUCACUGGCCUCCAAGUUUUCUAGGAUGAUGCAAUGUCCAGCCAUCAACACAUUUGUGAAGGAAUUUUUACUCCCCAAAAGAGCGCCCCCCCAUGGUAGGAGAAAAAAGUCAAUUUUUUCUUGUCCCCUUUCAUAAAAAUACACAUUGUUGAGUGUCACGCCUGAACGCUUUGUCAUAUUGACACAAAAAUUGACAAUCAUGUGUAUCUCAAUUAGAUCUACGAAAAAGUCAAAGAGCGCGUAUCUGUAUAAUGUACGGUUAAAGGGCUAUUUUGCAUUUUUUGCCGAUUCGCACACAUUGGAAUGUGGCUAUCUCCUCCUAAGGCUUUCGUCCCACCGAUACCAAAUUUGCUCAGGGCAAUCUACACCCCAUGCCCAUUCAAAGUUGUAAAAAUCAUGACGCUGCACCCCACGGUUUACGUUCUAGGGGGCGCCAAAGAUGACCCAAAAAUCCACAUUCUUAAAAGUCAUUUUGGCCACUGCAGGAGUACAGAGUACUGCAGUUCUAGGGGGCGCCAAAGAUGACCCAAAAAUCCACAUUCUUAAAAGUCUUUUUGGCCACUGCAGGAGUACAGAGUACUGCAGGAUACACACACAUAUACACACAUGCCAACAACACACACACACACACACACACACACACACACACACACACACACACAGACACACACUCAGAGUCUGUUUUUUAGCACCUGCAAAAACAUGCUGUUUACAUAUUUGACAAGAAUGCAGAGGCUUCCUUUUGCCCCUGAAAAAAAUCAAAUUUCAAACACAACUUGACUGUUCAUUUUUCCAAAAGACAACCAUGAAGCUCCAUUUCAAACCUGAAGCAGAUAGUUGGUGCAUGUGUACAGUAACCUGAGGGGAGUGAGGUGACUAUUUCUGAGGAGAACAUGAGCAGUGAAGAUUCACCUUGGAGCUAGAACAGGGACGUGCACAUGAUUAUACAGGGGCAGGGGCUCAAGUUUUUUCCAGUCAUUUAUACAAUAUGGAAAUUAAUGUGAAAUUAAACCACAAAUAUGUGUGAUGAACUGUUUUUAAAACUUAAACUUCAAAUAAAAAUUGUAAACUUCAAAACAUAUGCAAAUUUUUAACAAAGAACAUAGUAAUUUACCUCUAUUUACAUCAAAAUGCAGGCAAUGGCCCAGGCGUUCUUUGUAAAAUUAUUUACAAAACACUGUAUAGUCUCACAAAUGUCACUUUUUAUUUAUGCCACUACAAAAAAACAUGAUGUAAAUGAUGCAUGAUGUAAAACAUGAUGUAAAAAACUUGUGUAGAUCCUCCUCUAUGUCAGUCCAUGUGUAAUUUUUCCAUAAUUCUUUGUUUUUUGCAGCAUUUUUGUUAGUGUAACUGCAGAUUGUGCUGACAGUGUCUAUGGCACAAAAAAAAAAAUUAAAAUGCCUCAACAUGAACCCCUGGUGGUCUCUGAGGGUGAAACCUGCUAACUGCUGCAGCUCUGUCAGCUUCAGUCUCCCAUGCAGAGCUCUGAGCGCAUGUGUGGCUCUGCACUCUUAGCAGCGUUGCUAACUCCUCAGUAAGGAAAGCCUGCUUCAUGUCAGAGUCUCUAAACUCCAGAAGAAGUCGAUAAAAGUCCCUUUCUUUCUAAAAAAGUCGUUAGGGUGUCUGAAAAGUAAUUGAAUCUAACAACAAAGUCGCUAGGUUUGCAACUACGUGUCCCAGACUGCAUCCCUGCUGAGAGUCCCUCCCUCCCUUCUCAUGUUGCAGGAAGAACGUAAGCGCCCGCCCCUUGUCAAUCAGUCACCAUAUAAUUUUGGAUUGGUUGUUGUGGUGAAGUUUUCCACCAAUAGGAGAGAUGUUGUGGUGUGUUUUUUUUUUCUUUUGGCAAGCCUUUUCCGCCUGUAAGACCUGUCGCUAAUGUCUGCAUGCUAUGUUUUCCUGUCUCAUACAGCGCGAUCGAGCGCCGAACGUGAUCAAAAUAAGCAGAAAAAAAGUAUCGCGGACAUAAUUUAUCAUAACUCUGGUUUUAUUUGGCCUAUCAACACAAUUUAAAAACUGGUAUAUAGGUUGAGGUCCUCACUUUUGAGAUAAGUUGAAACGGAGAGUCAACGAGGCUCCGUCUUGCAGCUACAUCCGGUUAAAUAUGUCAUGUGACUUGAACGCACACAUAGACACACACACACACACACACACACACACACACACACACACACACACACACACACACUCAGAGUCUGGUUUUUAGCACCUGCAAAAACAUGCUAUUUACAUAUUUGACAAGAAUGCAGAGGCUCCUUUUGCCCCUGAAAAAAAUCAAAUUUCAAACACAACUUGACUGGUCAUUUCUCCAAAAGACAACCAUGAAGCUCCAUCCAAACCUGAAGCAGGCAGUUGGUGCAUGUGUACAGUAACCUGAGGGGAGUGAGGUGAGUGCUUCUGAGGAGAACAUGAGCAGUGAAGAUUCACCUUGGAGCUAGAACAGAGACAUGCACAUGAUUAUACAGGGGCAGGGGCUCAAGUUUUUUCCAGUCGUUUAUACAAUAUGGAAAUUAAUGUGAAAUUAAAACACAAAGUAUUAAUAGAAAGGUAAUGACUGUCCUGUUCUAGGUGACAGUGAUAUCCAAUAGGCUAGGCACUCACGAGGCUGGCUGUGGCAAGUGUAAGUGAAAGCAACACGCACUGGCAGGAAGAACAGCAAACGCCGAUGAAGGAAAAGGGUCUUUGCAGUGAUGGGCGUUACCAGAGAGGACGAUGGCCAGAGGACGCGAAUGGGACGGGGAGGCAGCGCGUUGGGGGGGGGCGCGACACAGCUCGGGCCCGCCAGUGCCCCAACGGGGCCCUAGUUCUUUCUUUCUUCUUUUUCCUCCCCUUUGAACUGGAAAAUGGCCCACUUCCCACUGGCGAAAACUCAUGAAAUUUGGCAGGACGACCGGGCCUGGUGAAAAAUUUGAUAUUCUGAAGUCGCCAAAACAAUAAAAUGCAAAAUGGCUCCAUAGCGCCCCCUAAGGUGGAAAUUCACACUAUUGACUGUCACGCCUGUACGCUUUGUCAUAUUGACACAAAAAUUGACACACAUAUGUAUCUCAAUAAGAUCUACAAAAAAGUCAGUGCGGCCGUAUCUGUCAAAAUUACGGUUAAAGGGUUAUUUCGCAUUUUUUGCCGAUCCGCACACAUUGGAAUUUCGCUAACUCCUCCGAAGGCUUUCGUUCCACCGGCACCACAUUUGCUCAGGCCAAUCUACACCCCAUGGCCAUUAAAAGUUAUUCAAAUCAUGACGCUGCACCCCACGGUUUAGGUUCUAGGGGGCGCCAAAGAUAACCCUAAAAUCCACAUAUUUAAAAGUCUUAUAACUUUUUAUUUUUGUCCUCACUGGCCUCCAAGUUUUCUAGGAUGAUGCAAUGUCCAGCCAUCAACACAUUUGUGAAGGAAUUUUUACUCCCCAAAAGAGCGUCCCCCCAUGGCAGGAGAAAAAAGUCCAUUUUUUCUUGUCCCCUAAGGUGAAAAUACAUAUUGUUGAGUGUCACGCCUAUACGCUUUGUCAAAAUGACACAAAAAUUGACACACACAUGUAACUCAAUAAGAUCUACGAAAAAGUCAAUGCGCGCGUAUCUGUCAAAUGUACGGUUAAAGGGUUAUUCCGCAUUUUUUGCCGAUCCGCACACAUUGGAAUGUGGCUAACUCCUCCGAAGGCUUUCUGUCCACCGGCACCACAUUUGCUCAGGCCAAUCUACACCCCAUGGCCAUUACAAGUUAUUCAAAUCAUGACGCUGCACCCCACGGUUUAGGUUCUAGGGGGCGCCAAAGACAACCCAAAAAUCCAAAUUUUUAAAAGUCUUAUAACUUUUUAUUUUUGUCCUCACUGGCCUCCAAGUUUUCUAGGAUGAUGCAAUGUCCAGCCAUCAACACAUUUGUGAAGGAAUUUUUACUCCCUAAAAGAGCGCCCCCCCAUGGCAGGAGAAAAAAGUCCAUUUUUUCUUGUCCCCUAAGGUGAAAAUACACAUUGUUGACUGUCACGCCUGUACGCUUUGGCAAAAUGACACAAAAAUUGACAAUCAUGUGUAUCUCAAUUAGAUCUACGAAAAAGUCAAGAGUGCGUAUCUGUAUAAUGUACGGUAAAAGGGCUAUUUUGCAUUUUUUGCCGAUUCGCACAUAUUGGAAUUUCGCUAACUCCUCCUAAGGCUUUCGUCCCACUGACACCAAAUUUGCUCAGGCCAAUCUACACUCCAUGGCCAUUCAAAGUUGUAAAAAUCAUGACGCGGCACCCCACGGUUUACGUUUUAGGGGGCGCCAAAGAUGACCCAAAUAUACAUUACAGUAGACAAAGUAGUUUUGCCCACUGAGUGGCGCCAAAGGGACUUGUCUGUGGAGUCUGUGAGUCACUAUUGGCCGUUUUUGACUACUUUAGAUUUUACCUUUAUAUUUCCUCUUACAAAAUUUUUACCUUGCCUUGCCUGGUAUCAUUUUUUUCAGCACAACCUCACCUGUGUCAAUUUACAGUUAUUUUAUCAUUUUGACAUACUAUAUUUACACAUUGGACCCAAAUUCACACACAAAACAUAAAAUCCGAGUGGAAAAAAGUAACGUUUUUACUGUGAAAACCACAAAUAUGUGUGAUGAACUGUUUUUAAAACUUAAACUUCAAAUAAAAAUUGUAAACUUCAAAACAUAUGCAAAUUUUUAACAAAGAACAUAGUAAUUUACCUCUAUUUACAUCAAAAUGCAGGCAAUGGCCCAGGUGUUCUUUGUAAAAUUAUUUACAAAACACUGUAUAGUCUCACAAAUGUCACUUUUUAUUUAUGCCACUACAAAAAAACAUGAUGUAAAUGAUGCAUGAUGUAAAACAUGAUGUAAAAAACUUGUGUAGAUCCUCCUCUAUGUCAGUCCAUGUGUAAUUUUUCCAUAAUUCUUUGUUUUUUGCAGCAUUUUUGUUAGUGUAACUGCAGAUUGUGCUGACAGUGUCUAUGGCAAAAAAAAAAAAAAAACUGAAAAUGCCUCAACAUGAACCCCUGGUGGUCUCUGUGGGUGAAACCUGCUAACUGCUGCAGCUCUGUCAGCUUCAGUCUCCCAUGCAGAGCUCGGAGCGCAUGUGUGGCUCUGCACCCUUAGCAGCGUUGCUAACUCCUCAGUAAGGAAAGCCUGCUUCAUGUCAGAGUCUCUAAACUCCAGAAGAAGUCGAUAAAAGUCACUUUCUUUCUAAAAAACGUCGUUAGGGGGUCUGAAAAGUCAUUGAAUCUAACAACAAAGUCGCUAGGUUUGCAACUACGUGUCCCAGACUGCAUCCCUGCUGAGAGUCCCUCCCUCCCUUCUCAUAUUGCAGGAAGAACGUAAGCGCCCGCCCCUUGUCGAUCAGUCACCAUAUAAUUUUGGAUUGGUUGUUGUGGUGAAGUUUUCCACCAAUAGGAGAGAUGUUGUGGUGUGUUUUUUUUUUCCUUUGGCAAGCCUUUUCCGCCUGUAAGACCUGUCGCUAAUGUCUGCAUGCUAUGUUUUCCUGUCUCAUACAGCGCGAUCGAGCGCCGAACGUGAUCAAAAUAAGCAGAAAACAAGUAUCGCGGACAUAAUUUAUCAUAACUCUGGUUUUAUUUGGCCUAUCAACACAAUUUAAAAACUGGUAUAUAGGUUGAGGUCCUCACUUUUGAGAUAAGUUGAAACGGAGAGUCAACGAGGCUCCGUCUUGCAGCUACAUCCGGUUAAAUAUGUCAUGUGACUUGAACGCACACACACACACACACACACACACACACACACACACACACACACACACACAUACGCACACACACACACUCAGAGUCUGGUUUUUAGCACCUGCAAAAACAUGCUAUUUACAUAUUUGACAAGAAUGCAGAGGCUCCUUUUGCCCCUGAAAAAAAUCAAAUUUCAAACACAACUUGACUGGUCAUUUCUCCAAAAGACAACCAUGAAGCUCCAUCCAAACCUGAAGCAGGCAGUUGAUGCAUGUGUACAGUAACCUGAGGGGAGUGAGGUGACUGCUUCUGAGGAGAACAUGAGCAGUGAAGAUUCACCUUAGAGCUAGAACAGAGACGUGCACAUGAUUAUACAGGGGCAGGGGCUCAAGUUUUUACCAGUUGUUUAUACAAUAUGGAAAUUAAUGUGAAAUUAAAAAACAAAGUAUUAAUAGAAAGGUAAUGACUGUCCUGUGUAGGUGACAGUGAUAUCCAAUAGGCUAGGCACUCACGAGGCUGGCUGUGGCAAGUGUAAGUGAAAGCAACACGCACUGGCAGGAAGAACAGCAAACGCCGAUGAAGGAAAAGGGUCUUUGCAGUGAUGGGCGUUACCAGAGAGGGCGAUGGCCAGAGGACACAAAUGGGACGGGGAGGCAGCGCGUUGGGGGGGGGGACGCGACACAGCUCGGGCCCGCCAGUGCCCCAACGGGGUCCUAGUGUUAUUAGGGCCCGAGCCAGCUGCAGAGCAGCCGGGCGUAGGCCCUAUUAUUCCCCAAGUGGUUUUUCUUUGUUUCCUCUUUCUUUCUUUAGGGCCCGAGCGUAGCUGCUAAGCAGCUGCGAGAGCCCUCUUGUUCCUGCAUGUUUCCUUCUUUCGUUAUUAUUUUUCCUCCGCUUUAAACUGGAAAAUGGCCCACUUCCCACUGGCGAAAACUCAGGAAAUUUGGCAGGACGACCGGGCCUGGUGAAAAAUUCGAUAUUCUGAAGUCGCCCAAACAAUAAAAUGCAAAAUGGCUCCAUAGCGCCCCCUAAGGUGAAAAUUCACAUGACGGCUGUACGCUUUGUCAUAUUGACACAAAAAUUGACACACACAUGUAUCUCAAUAAGAUCUACAAAAAAGUCAGUGCGGGCGUAUCUGUCAAAUGUACGGUUAAUGGGUUAUUUUGCAUUUUUUGCAGAUCUGCACACAUUGGAAUUUCGUUAACUCCUCCGAAGGCUUUUGUUCGACCGGCACCACAUUUGCGCAGGCCAAUCUACCUCCCAUGGCCAUUAAAAGUUGUACAAAUCAUGACGCUGCACCCCACGAUUUAGGUUCUAGGGGGCGCCAAAGAUAACACUAAAAUCCACAUUCUUAAAAGUCUUAUAACUUUUUACUUUUGUCCUCACUGGCCUCCAAGUUUUCUAGGAUGAUGCAAUGUCCAGCCAUCAACACAUUUGUGAAGGAAUUUUUACUCCCCAAAAGAGCGCCCCCCCAUGGCAGGAGAAAAAAGUCCAUUUUUUCUUGUCCCCUAAGGUGAAAAUACACAUUGUUGACUGUCACGCCUGUACGCUUUGGCAAAAUGACACAAAAAUUGACACACACAUGUAUCUCAAUAAGAUCUACAAAAAAGUCCAAGCGCGCGUAUCUGUCAAAUGUACAGUUAAAGGGUUAUUCCGCAUUUUUUGCCGAUACGCACACAUUGGAAUUUCGCUAACUCCUCCGAAGGCUUUCGUUCCACCGGCACCACAUUUGCUCAGGCCAAUCUACACCCCAUGGCCAUUAAAAGUUAUUCAAAUCAUGACGCUGCACCCCACGGUUUACGUUCUAGGGGGCGCCAAAGAUAACCCAAAAAUCCACAUUUUUAAAAGUCUUAUAACUUUUUAUUUUUGUCCUCACUGGCCUCCAAGUUUUCUAGGAUGAUGCAAUGUCCAGCCAUCAACACAUUUGUGAAGGAAUUUUUACUCCCCAAAAGAGCGCCCCCCCAUGGCAGGAGAAAAAGUCCAUUUUUUCUUGUCCCCUAAGGUGAAAAUACACAUUGUUGACUGUCACGCCUGUACGCUUUGGCAAAAUGACACAAAAAUUGACAAUCAUGUGUAUCUCAAUUAGAUCUACAAAAAAGUCAGUGCGGGUGUAUCUGUCAAAUGUACGGUUAAAGGGUUAUUUCGCAUUUUUUGCCGAUCCGCACACAUUGGAAUUUCGCUAACUCCUCCGAAGGCUUUCGUUCCACCGGCACCACAUUUGCUCAGGCCAAUCUACACUCCAUGGCCAUUCAAAGUUGUAAAAAUCAUGACGCUGCACCCCACGGUUUACGUUUUAGGGGGCGCCAAAGAUGACCCAAAAAUCCACAUUCUUAAAAGAAUCCACAUCCCCCCCCCCCCAUCCCCCAUCCCCCAUGGCAGGAGAAACAGUCAAGUUUUUCCUGCCCAUCACUCAAUGGCUCAAUCGCAUCGCUCUCCCGGCAACACCGUAAGGAGGAGCAAUCUGCCAUUUGGAUAUAUCCUAGCUGUGUUUGUGCCCUCACUCAUGGUCCAGACUUUUUUCAAAUAGGACAUGUAGUUUGUCUGCAGCGAGUGUUUUGGUAGAAACUGCGCCUCCCAUUCAUUUUAAUGGGAAAUGACCACAGACAAGUGCGCACACCAUCUUUGGACCUUGAGUGUGACGCGAUCGGGAGGGGGAGGCGGUCGCGCUGGGGGCGGCGCGACGCGGCUCGGGCCCGACAGUGCCCCACCGGGGCCCUAGUCUUUCUUUCUUUCUUUCUUUCUUCUUAUUUUUCCUCCCCUUUGAAGGGGAAAAUGGCCCACUUCCCACUGGCGAAAACUCAUGAAAUUUGGCAGGACGACCGGGCCUGGUGAAAAAUUCGAUAUUCUGAAGUCGCCCAAACAAUAAAAUGCAAAAUGGCUCCAUAGCGCCCCCUAAGGUGGAAAUUCACACUAUUGACUGUCACGCCUGUACGCUUUGUCAUAUUGACACAAAAAUUGACACACACAUGUAUCUCAAUACGAUCUACAAAAAAGUCAGUGCGGGCGUAUCUGUCAAAUGUACGGUUAAAGGGUUAUUUCGCAUUUUUUGCCGAUCCGCACACAUUGGAAUUUCGCUAACUCCUCCGAAGGCUUUAGUUCCACCGCCACCAAAUUUGCUCAGGCCAAUCUACACCCCAUGGCCAUUAAAAGUUGUACAAAUCAUGACGCUGCACUCCACGGUUUAGGUUCUAGGGGGCGCCAAAGAUAACCCAAAAAUCCACAUUCUUUAUAGUCUUAUAACUUUUUAUUUUUGUCCUCACUGGCCUCCAAGUUUUCUAGGAUGAUGCAAUGUCCAGCCAUCAACACAUUUGUAAAGGAAUUUUUACUCCCGUAAAGAGCGCCCCCCCCAUGGCAGGAGAAAAAAGUCCAUUUUUUCUUGUCCCCUAAGGUGAAAAAACACAUUGUUGACUGUCACGCCUAUACGCUUUGUCAAAAUGACACAAAAUUUGACACACACGUGUAUCUCAAUAAGAUCUACGAAAAAGUCAAUGGGCACGUAUCUGUAAAAUGUACGGUUAAAGGGCUAUUUCGCAUUUUUUGCCGAUUCGCACACAUUGGAAUGUGGCUAACUCCUCCUAAGGCUUUCUUCCCACCGACACCAAAUUUGUUCAAGCCGAUCUACAUCCCAUGGCCAUUCAAAGUUGUAAAAAUCAUGCCGCUGCACCCCAUGGUUUACGUUCUAGGGGGCGCCAAAGAUGACCCAAAUAUCCACAUUCUUAAAAGAAUCCACAUCCCCCCCCCCAAGGCAGGAGAAAAAGUCCAGUUAACCCUGCCCAUCGCUCAAUGGCUCAAUCGCAUCGCUCUCCUGGCAACACCGUAAGGAGGAGCAACUUGCCAUUUGGAUAUAUCCUAGCUGUGUUUGUGCCCUCACUCAUGGUCCAGACUUUUUUCAAAUAGGACAUGUAGUUUGUCUGCAGCGACCGUUUUGGUAGAAACUGCGCCUCCCAUUCAUUAUAAUGGGAAAUGACCACAGACAAGUGCGCACACCAUCUUUGGACCUUGAGUGUGAUGCGAUCGGGAGGGGGAGGCGGUCGCGCUGGGGGCGGCGCGACGCGGCUCGGGCCCGACAGUGCCCCACCGGGGCCCUAGUUCUUUCUUUCUUUCUUCUUUUUCCUCCCCUUUGAACUGGAAAAUGGCCCACUUCCCACUGGCGAAAACUCAUGAAAUUUGGCAGGACGACCGGGCCUGGUGAAAAAUUCGAUAUUCUGAAGUCGCCCAAACAAUAAAAUGCAAAAUGGCUCCAUAGCGCCCCCUAAGGUGGAAAUUCACACUAUUGACUGUCACGCCUGUACGCUUUGUCAUAUUGACACAAAAAUUGACACACAUAUGUAUCUCAAUAAGAUCUACAAAAAAGUCAGUGCGGCCGUAUCUGUCAAAAUUACGGUUAAAGGGUUAUUUCGCAUUUUUUGCCGAUCCGCACACAUUGGAAUUUCGCUAACUCCUCCGAAGGCUUUCGUUCCACCGGCACCACAUUUGCUCAGGCCAAUCUACACCCCGUGGCCAUUAAAAGUUAUCAAAAUCAUGACGCUGCACCCCAAGGUUUAGGUUCUAGGGGGCGCCAAAGAUAACACUAAAAUCCACAUAUUUAAAAGUCUUAUAACUUUUUAUUUUUGUCCUCACUGGCCUCCAAGUUUUCUAGGAUGAUGCAAUGUCCAGCCAUCAACACAUUUGUGAAGGAAUUUUUACUCCCCAAAAGAGCGCCCCCCCAUGGCAGGAGAAAAAAGUCCAUUUUUUCUUGUCCCCUAAGGUGAAAAUACACAUUGUUGAGUGUCACGCCUAUACGCUUUGUCAAAAUGACACAAAAAUUGACACACACAUGUAACUCAAUAAGAUCUACAAAAAAGUCCAUGCGCGCGUAUCUGUCAAAUGUACAGUUAAAGGGUUAUUCCGCAUUUUUUGCCGAUACGCACACAUUGGAAUUUCGCUAACUCCUCCGAAGGCUUUCGUUCCACCGGCACCACAUUUGCUCAGGCCAAUCUACACCCCAUGGCCAUUAAAAGUUAUUCAAAUCAUGAUGCUGCACCCCAUGGUUUAGGUUCUAGGGGGCGCCAAAAAUAACCGUAAAAUCCACAUAUUUAAAAGUCUUAUAACUUUUUAUUUUUGUCCUCACUGGCCUCCAAGUUUUCUAGGAUGAUGCAAUGUCCAGCCAUCAACACAUUUGUGAAGGAAUUUUUACUCCCCAAAAGAGCGCCCCCCCAUGGUAGGAGAAAAAAGUCAAUUUUUUCUUGUCCCCUUACAUAAAAAUACACAUUGUUGAGUGUCACGCCUGAACGCUUUGUCAUAUUGACACAAAAAUUGACAAUCAUGUGUAUCUCAAUUAGAUCUACGAAAAAGUCAAAGAGCGCGUAUCUGUAUAAUGUACGGUUAAAGGGCUAUUUUGCAUUUUUUGCCGAUUCGCACACAUUGGAAUGUGGCUAUCUCCUCCUAAGGCUUUCGUCCCACCGAUACCAAAUUUGCUCAGGGCAAUCUACACCCCAUGCCCAUUCAAAGUUGUAAAAAUCAUGACGCUGCACCCCACGGUUUACGUUCUAGGGGGCGCCAAAGAUGACCCAAAAAUCCACAUUCUUAAAAGUCAUUUUGGCCACUGCAGGAGUACAGAGUACUGCAGUUCUAGGGGGCGCCAAAGAUGACCCAAAAAUCCACAUUCUUAAAAGUCUUUUUGGCCACUGCAGGAGUACAGAGUACUGCAGGAUACACACACAUAUACACACACGCCAACAUACACACACACACACACACACACACACACACACACACACACACACACACACAGACACACACACACACUCAGAGUCUGUUUUUUAGCACCUGCAAAAACAUGCUGUUUACAUAUUUGACAAGAAUGCAGAGGCUUCCUUUUGCCCCUGAAAAAAAUCAAAUUUCAAACACAACUUGACUGUUCAUUUCUCCAAAAGACAACCAUGAAGCUCCAUUUCAAACCUGAAGCAGAUAGUUGGUGCAUGUGUACAGUAACCUGAGGGGAGUGAGGUGACUAUUUCUGAGGAGAACAUGAGCAGUGAAGAUUCACCUUGGAGCUAGAACAGGGACGUGCACAUGAUUAUACAGGGGCAGGGGCUCAAGUUUUUUCCAGUCAUUUAUACAAUAUGGAAAUUAAUGUGAAAUUAAACCACAAAUAUGUGUGAUGAACUGUUUUUAAAACUUAAACUUCAAAUAAAAAUUGUAAACUUCAAAACAUAUGCAAAUUUUUAACAAAGAACAUAGUAAUUUACCUCUAUUUACAUCAAAAUGCAGGCAAUGGCCCAGGCGUUCUUUGUAAAAUUAUUUACAAAACACUGUAUAGUCUCACAAAUGUCACUUUUUAUUUAUGCCACUACAAACAAACAUGAUGUAAAUGAUGCAUGAUGUAAAACAUGAUGUAAAAAACUUGUGUAGAUCCUCCUCUAUGUCAGUCCAUGUGUAAUUUUUCCAUAAUUCUUUGUUUUUUGCAGCAUUUUUGUUAGUGUAACUGCAGAUUUUGCUGACAGUGUCUAUGGCACAAAAAAAAAAAAAAAUUAAAAUGCCUCAACAUGAACCCCUGGUGGUCUCUGAGGGUGAAACCUGCUAACUGCUGCAGCUCUGUCAGCUUCAGUCUCCCAUGCAGAGCUCUGAGCGCAUGUGUGGCUCUGCACCCUUAGCAGCGUUGCUAACUCCUCAGUAAGGAAAGCCUGCUUCAUGUCAGAGUCUCUAAACUCCAGAAGAAGUCGAUAAAAGUCCCUUUCUUUCUAAAAAAGUCGUUAGGGUGUCUGAAAAGUCAUUGAAUCUAACAAAAAAGUCGCUAGGUUUGCAACUACGUGUCCCAGACUGCAUCCCUGCUGAGAGUCCCUCCCUCCCUUCUCAUGUUGCAGGAAGAACGUAAGCGCCCGCCCCUUGUCAAUCAGUCACCAUAUAAUUUUGGAUUGGUUGUUGUGGUGAAGUUUUCCACCAAUAGGAGAGAUGUUGUGGUGUGUUUUUUUUUUCUUUUGGCAAGCCUUUUCCGCCUGUAAGACCUGUCGCUAAUGUCUGCAUGCUAUGUUUUCCUGUCUCAUACAGCGCGAUCGAGCGCCGAACGUGAUCAAAAUAAGCAGAAAAAAAGUAUCGCGGACAUAAUUUAUCAUAACUCUGGUUUUAUUUGGCCUAUCAACACAAUUUAAAAACUGGUAUAUAGGUUGAGGUCCUCACUUUUGAGAUAAGUUGAAACGGAGAGUCAACGAGGCUCCGUCUUGCAGCUACAUCAGGUUAAAUAUGUCAUGUGACUUGAACGCACACAUAGACACACACACACGCACACACACACACACACACACACACACACUCAGAGUCUGGUUUUUAGCACCUGCAAAAACAUGCUAUUUACAUAUUUGACAAGAAUGCAGAGGCUCCUUUUGCCCCUGAAAAAAAUCAAAUUUCAAACACAACUUGACUGGUCAUUUCUCCAAAAGACAACCAUGAAGCUCCAUCCAAACCUGAAGCAGGCAGUUGGUGCAUGUGUACAGUAACCUGAGGGGAGUGAGGUGAGUGCUUCUGAGGAGAACAUGAGCAGUGAAGAUUCACCUUGGAGCUAGAACAGAGACAUGCACAUGAUUAUACAGGGGCAGGGGCUCAAGUUUUUUCCAGUCGUUUAUACAAUAUGGAAAUUAAUGUGAAAUUAAAACACAAAGUAUUAAUAGAAAGGUAAUGACUGUCCUGUGUAGGUGACAGUGAUAUCCAAUAGGUUAGGCACUCACGAGGCUGGCUGUGGCAAGUGUAAGUGAAAGCAACACGCACUGGCAGGAAGAACAGCAAACGCCGAUGAAGGAAAAGGGUCUUUGCAGUGAUGGGCGUUACCAGAGAGGGCGAUGGCCAGAGGACACAAAUGGGACGGGGAGGCAGCACGUUGGGGGGGGACGCGACACGGCUCGGGCCCGCCAGUGCCCCAACGGGGUCCUAGUUAGGGCCCGAGCGUAGCUGCUAAGCAGCUGCGAGAGCCCUCUUGUUCCUGCAUGUUUCCUUCUUUUGUUAUUAUUAGGGCCCGAGCCAGCUGCAGAGCAGCCGGGCGUAGAGCCCUAUUAUUCCUGUAUAGGUUUUUCUUUCUUCUUUCUUUCUUUCUUUCUUUCUUUCUUUCUUUAGGGCCCGAGCGUAGCUGCUAAGCAGCUGCGAGAGCCCUAUUAUUCCUGAUGGAUUCUUCUUUCUUCUUCUUCUUCUUAUUAUUUUUCUGCCCCUUUGAACUGGAAAAUGGCCCACUUCCCACUGGUGAAAAGUCAUGAAAUUUGGCAGGACGACCGGGCCUGGUGAAAAAUUCGAUAUUCUGAAGUCGCCCAAAAAAUCAAAUGCAAAAUGGCUCCAUAGCGCCCCCUAAGGUGAAAAAUUCACAUGAUUGAGUGUCACGCCUGUACGCUUUGUCAAAAUGACACAAAAUUUGACACACACGUGUAUCUCAAUAAGAUCUACAAAAAAGUCAGUGCGGGCGUAUCUGUCAAAUGUACGGUUAAAGGGCUAUUUCGCAUUUUUUGCCGAUCCGCACACAUUGGAAUUUCGCUAACUCCUCCGAAGGCUUUCGUUCCACCGGCACCAAAUUUGCUCAGGCCAAUCUACACCCCAUGGCAAUUAAAAGUUGUACAAAUCAUGACGCUGCAUCCCACGGUUUACGUUCUAGGGGGCGCCAAAGAUAACCCAGAAAUCCACAUUCUUAAAAGUCGUAUAACUUUUUAUUUUUGUCCUCACUGGCCUCCAAGUUUUCUAGGAUGAUGCAAUGUCCAGCCAUCAACACAUUUGUGAAGGAAUUUUUACUCCCCAAAAGAGCGCCCCCCCAUGGCAGGAGAAAAAAGUCCAUUUUUUCUUGUCUCCUAAGGCGAAAAUUCACACUAUUGACUGUCACGCCUUUACGCUUUGUCAUAUUGACACAAAAAUUGACACACACAUGUAUCUCAAUAAGAUCUACAAAAAAGUCAGUGCGGGCGUAUCUGUCAAAUGUACGGUGAAAGGGCUAUUUCGCAUUUUUUGCCGAUCCGCACACAUUGGAAUUUCGCUAACUCCUCCGAAGGCUUUCGUUCCAAAAGCACCACAUUUGCUGAGGCCAAUCUACACCCCAUGGCCAUUAAAAGUUGUACAAAUCAUGACGCUGCACCCCACGGUUUACGUUCUAGGGGGCGCCAAAGAUAACCCAAAAAUCCACAGUCUUAAAAGUCUUAUAACUUUUUAUUUUUGUCCUCACUGGCCUCCAAGUUCUCUAGGAUGAUGCAAUGUCCAGCCAUCAACACAUUUGUGAAGGAAUUUUUACUCGCCAAAAGAGCGCCCCCCAUGGCAGGAGAAAAAAGUCCAUUUUUUCUUGUCUCCUAAGGCGAAAAUACACAUUGUUGACUGUCACGCCUUUACGCUUUGUCAAAAUGACACAAAAUUUGACACACACAUGUAUCUCAAUAAGAUCUACAAAAAAGUCAGUGCGGGCGUAUCUGUCAAAUGUACGGUUAAAGGGUUAUUUCGCAUUUUUUGCCGAUCCGCACACAUUGGAAUUUCGCUAACUCCUCCUAAAUCUUUUGUCCCAUCGGCUUCAAAUUUGCUCAGGUCAAUCUACACCCCAUGGCCAUUCAAAGUUGUACAAAUCAUGACGCUGCACCCCACAGUUUACGUUCUAGGGGGCGCCAAAGAGGACCCAAAUAUCCACAUUUUUAAAAGUCUUAUAACUUUUUAUUUUUGUCCUCACUGGCCUCCAAGUUUUCUAGGAUGAUGCAAUGUCCAGCCAUCAACACAUUUGUGAAGGAAUUUUUCUCCCCAAAAGAGCGCCCCCCAUGGCAGGAGAAAAAGUCAAGUUUUUCCUGCCCAUCGCUCAAUGGCUCAAACGCAUCGCUCUCUCUGCAAAACCGAAAGGAGGAGCAACUUGCCAUUUGGAUAUAUACUAGCUGUGUUUGUGCCCUCACUCAUGGUCCAGACUUUUUUCAAAUAGGACAUGUAGUUUGUCUGCAGCGAGCGUUUUGGUAGAAACUGCGCCUCCCAUUCAUUAUAAUGGGAAAUGACCACAGACAAGUGCGCACACCAUCUUUGGACCUUGAGUGUGACGCGAUCGGGAGGGGGAGGCGGUCGCGCUGGGGGCGGCGCGACGCGGCUCGGGCCCGACAGUGCCCCACCGGGGCCCUAGUCUUAUUUUUCCUCCCCUUUGAAGGGGAAAAUGGCCCACUUCCCACUGGCGAAAACUCAUGAAAUUUGGCAGGACGAAUGGGCCUGGUGAAAAAUUCGAUAUUCUGAAGUCGCCCAAACAAUAAAAUGCAAAAUGGCUCCAUAGCGCCCCCUAAGGUGAAAAUUCACACUAUUGACUGUCACGCCUUUACGCUUUGUCAUAUUGACACAAAAAUUGACACACACAUGUAUCUCAAUAAGAUCUACAAAAAAGUCAGUGCGAGCGUAUCUGUCAAAUGUACGGUUAAAGGGUUAUUUCGCAUUUUUUGCCGAUCCGCACACAUUGGAAUUUCGCUAACUCCUCCGAAGGCUUUCGUUCCACCGGCACCACAUUUGCUCAGGCCAAUCUACACCCCAUGGCCAUUAAAAGUUGUACAAAUCAUGACGCUGCACCCCACGGUUUACGUUCUAGGGGGCGCCAAAGAUAACCCAAAAAUCCACAGUCUUAAAAGUCUUAUAACUUUUUAUUUUUGUCCUCACUGGCCUCCAAGUUCUCUAGGAUGAUGCAAUGUCCAGCCAUCAACACAUUUGUGAAGGAAUUUUUACUCGCCAAAAGAGCGCCCCCCCAUGGCAGGAGAAAAAAGUCCAUUUUUUCUUGUCUCCUAAGGCGAAAAUUCACACUAUUGACUGUCACGCCUUUACGCUUUGUCAUAUUGACACAAAAAUUGACACACACAUGUAUCUCAAUAAGAUCUACAAAAAAGUCAGUGCGAGCGUAUCUGUCAAAUGUACGGUUAAAGGGCUAUUUCGCAUUUUUUGCCGAUCCGCACACAUUGGAAUUUCGCUAACUCCUCCGAAGGCUUUCGUUCCAAAGGCACCACAUUUGCUCAGGCCAAUCUACACCCCAUGGCCAUUAAAAGUUGUACAAAUCAUGACGCUGCACCCCACGGUUUACGUUCUAGGGGGCGCCAAAGAUAACCCAAAAAUCCACAGUCUUAAAAGUCUUAUAACUUUUUAUUUUUGUCCUCACUGGCCUCCAAGUUCUCUAGGAUGAUGCAAUGUCCAGCCAUCAACACAUUUGUGAAGGAAUUUUUACUCGCCAAAAGAGCGCCCCCCCAUGGCAGGAGAAAAAAGUCCAUUUUUUCUUGUCUCCUAAGGCGAAAAUACACAUUGUUGACUGUCACGCCUUUACGCUUUGUCAAAAUGACACAAAAUUUGACACACACAUGUAUCUCAAUAAGAUCUACGAAAAAGUCAAUGCGAGCGUAUCUGUUCAAUGUACGGUUAAAGGGCUAUUUCGCAUUUUUUGCUGAUUCGCACACAUUGGAAUGUGGCUAACUCCUCCUAAAUCUUUUGUCCCAUCGGCUUCAAAUUUGCUCAGGUCAAUCUACACCCCAUGGCCAUUCAAAGUUGUACAAAUCAUGACGCUGCACCCCACAGUUUACGUUCUAGGGGGCGCCAAAGAGGACCCAAAUAUCCACAUUUUUAAAAGUCUUAUAACUUUUUAUUUUUGUCCUCACUGGCCUCCAAGUUUUCUAGGAUGAUGCAAUGUCCAGCCAUCAACACAUUUGUGAAGGAAUUUUUCUCCCCAAAAGAGCGCCCCCCAUGGCAGGAGAAAAAGUCAAGUUUUUCCUGCCCAUCGCUCAAUGGCUCAAACGCAUCGCUCUCUCGGCAAAACCGAAAGGAGGAGCAACUUGCCAUUUGGAUAUAUACUAGCUGUGUUUGUGCCCUCACUCAUGGUCCAGACUUUUUUCAAAAAGGACAUGGAGUUUGUCUGCAGCGAGCGUUUUGGUAGAAACUGCGCCUCCCAUUCAUUAUAAUGGUAAAUGACCACAGACAAGUGCGCACACCAUCUUUGGACCUUGAGUGUGACGCGAUCGGGAGGGGUAGGCGGUCGCGCUGGGGGCGGCGCGACACGGCUCGGGCCCGCCAGUGCCCCAACGGGGCCCUAGUUAUUAUUAUUUUUCCUCCGCUUUAAACUGGAAAAUGGCCCACUUCCCACCGGCGAAAACUCAUGAAAUUUGGCAGGAUGACCGGGCCUGGUGAAAAAUUCGAUAUUCUGAUGUCGCCCAAACAAUAAAAUGCAAAAUGGCUCAAUAGCGCCCCCAAAGGUGAAAAUUCACACUAUUGACUGUCACGCCUGUACGCUUUGUCAUAUUGACACAAAAAUUGACACACACAUGUAUCUCAAUAAUAUCUACAAAAAAGUCAGUGCGGGCGUAUCUGUCAAAUGUACGGUUAAAGGGUUAUUUCGCAUUUUUUGCCGAUCCGCACACAUUGGAAUUUCGCUAACUCCUCCGAAGGCUUUCGUUCCACCGGCACCACAUUUGCUCAGGCCAAUCUACACCCCAUGGCCAUUAAAAGUUAUUCAAAUCAUGAUGCUGCACCCCAUGGUUUAGGUUCUAGGGGGCGCCAAAAAUAACCCAAAAAUCCACAUUCUUAAAUGUUUUAUAACUUUUUAUUUUUGUCCUCACUGGCCUCCAAGUUUUCUAGGAUGAUGCAAUGUCCAGCCAUCAACACAUUUGUGAAGGAAUUUUUACUCCCCAAAAGAGCGCCCCCCCAUGGUAGGAGAAAAAAGUCAAUUUUUUCUUGUCCCCUUACAUGAAAAUACACAUUGUUGAGUGUCACGCCUGAACGCUUUGUCAUAUUGACACAAAAAUUGACAAUCAUGUGUAUCUCAAUUAGAUCUACGAAAAAGUCAAAGAGCGCGUAUCUGUAUAAUGUACGGUUAAAGGGCUAUUUUGCAUUUUUUGCCGAUUUGCACACAUUGGAAUGUGGCUAUCUCCUCCUAAGGCUUUCGUCCCACCGAUACCAAAUUUGCUCAGGGCAAUCUACACCCCAUGCCCAUUCAAAGUUGUAAAAAUCAUGACGCUGCACCCCACGGUUUACGUUCUAGGGGGCGCCAAAGAUGACCCAAAAAUCCACAUUCUUAAAAGUCAUUUUGGCCACUGCAGGAGUACAGAGUACUGCAGUUCUAGGGGGCGCCAAAGAUGACCCAAAAAUCCACAUUCUUAAAAGUCUUUUUGGCCACUGCAGGAGUACAGAGUACUGCAGGAUACACACACAUAUACACACACGCCAACAUACACACACACACACACACACACACACAGACACACACACACACUCAGAGUCUGUUUUUUAGCACCUGCAAAAACAUGCUGUUUACAUAUUUGACAAGAAUGCAGAGGCUUCCUUUUGCCCCUGAAAAAAAUCAAAUUUCAAACACAACUUGACUGUUCAUUUCUCCAAAAGACAACCAUGAAGCUCCAUUUCAAACCUGAAGCAGAUAGUUGGUGUAUGUGUACAGUAACCUGAGGGGAGUGAGGUGACUAUUUCUGAGGAGAACAUGAGCAGUGAAGAUUCACCUUGGAGCGAGAACAGGGACGUGCACAUGAUUAUACAGGGGCAGGGGCUCAAGUUUUUUCCAGUCAUUUAUACAAUAUGGAAAUUAAUGUGAAAUUAAACCACAAAUAUGUGUGAUGAACUGUUUUUAAAACUUAAACUUCAAAUAAAAAUUGUAAACUUCAAAACAUAUGCAAAUUUUUAACAAAGAGCAUAGUAAUUUACCUCUAUUUACAUCAAAAUGCAGGCAAUGGCCCAGGCGUUCUUUGUAAAAUUAUUUACAAAACACUGUAUAGUCUCACAAAUGUCACUUUUUAUUUAUGCCACUACAAAAAAACAUGAUGUAAAUGAUGCAUGAUGUAAAACAUGAUGUAAAAAACUUGUGUAGAUCCUCCUCUAUGUCAGUCCAUGUGUAAUUUUUCCAUAAUUCUUUGUUUUUUGCAGCAUUUUUGUUAGUGUAACUGCAGAUUGUGCUGACAGUGUCUAUGGCACAAAAAAAAAAAAAAAAUUAAAAUGCCUCAACAUGAACCCCUGGUGGUCUCUGAGGGUGAAACCUGCUAACUGCUGCAGCUCUGUCAGCUUCAGUCUCCCAUGCAGAGCUCUGAGCGCAUGUGUGGCUCUGCACCCUUAGCAGCGUUGCUAACUCCUCAGUAAGGAAAGCCUGCUUCAUGUCAGAGUCUCUAAACUCCAGAAGAAGUCGAUAAAAGUCCCUUUCUUUCUAAAAAAAAGUCGUUAGGGGGUCUGAAAAGUCAUUGAGUCUAACAACAAAGUCGCUAGGUUUGCAACUACGUGUCCCAGACUGCAUCCCUGCUGAGAGUCCCUCCCUCCCUUCUCAUGUUGCAGGAAGAACGUAAGCGCCCGCCCCUUGUCAAUCAGUCACCAUAUAAUUUUGGAUUGGUUGUUGUGGUGAAGUUUUCCACCAAUAGGAGAGAUGUUGUGGUGUGUUUUUUUUUUUCUUUUGGCAAGCCUUUUCCGCCUGUAAGACCUGUCGCUAAUGUCUUCAUGCUAUGUUUUCCUGUCUCAUACAGCGCGAUCGAGCGCCGAACGUGAUCAAAAUAAGCAGAAAAAAAGUAUCGCGGACAUAAUUUAUCAUAACUCUGGUUUUAUUUGGCCUAUCAACACAAUUUAAAAACUGGUAUAUAGGUUGAGGUCCUCACUUUUGAGAUAAGUUGAAACGGAGAGUCAACGAGGCUCCGUCUUGCAGCUACAUCCGGUUAAAUAUGUCAUGUGACUUGAACGCACACACAGACACACACACACGCACACACACACACACACACACACACACACACACACACUCAGAGUCUGGUUUUUAGCACCUGCAAAAACAUGCUAUUUACAUAUUUGACAAGAAUGCAGAGGCUCCUUUUGCCCCUGAAAAAAAUCAAAUUUCAAACACAACUUGACUGGUCAUUUCUCCAAAAGACAACCAUGAAGCUCCAUCCAAACCUGAAGCAGGCAGUUGGUGCAUGUGUACAGUAACCUGAGGGGAGUGAGGUGAGUGCUUCUGAGGAGAACAUGAGCAGUGAAGAUUCACCUUGGAGCUAGAACAGAGACAUGCACAUGAUUAUACAGGGGCAGGGGCUCAAGUUUUUUCCAGUCGUUUAUACAAUAUGGAAAUUAAUGUGAAAUUAAAACACAAAGUAUUAAUAGAAAGGUAAUGACUGUCCUGUGUAGGUGACAGUGAUAUCCAAUAGGCUAGGCACUCACGAGGCUGGCUGUGGCAAGUGUAAGUGAAAGCAACACGCACUGGCAGGAAGAACAGCAAACGCCGAUGAAGGAAAAGGGUCUUUGCAGUGAUGGGCGUUACCAGAGAGGGCGAUGGCCAGAGGACACAAAUGGGACGGGAAGGCAGCACGUUGGGGGGGGGGGGGGACGCGACACGGCUCGGGCCCGCCAGUGCCCCAACGGGGUCCUAGUUUCUUUUUCCUCCCCUUUGAACUGGAAAAUGGCCCACUUCCCACUGGCGAAAACUCAUGAAAUUUGGCAGGACGACCGGGCCUGGUGAAAAAUUUGAUAUUCUGAAGUCGCCAAAACAAUAAAAUGCAAAAUGGCUCCAUAGCGCCCCCUAAAGGGGAAAAUUCACACUAUUCACUGUCACGACUGUACGCUUUGUCAAAAUGACACAAAAAUUGACACACACAUGUAUCUCAAUAAGAUCUACAAAAAAGUCAGUGCGGCCGUAUCUGUCAAAAUUACGGUUAAAGGGUUAUUUCGCAUUUUUUGCCGAUCUGCACACAUUGGAAUUUCGCUAACUCCUCCGAAGGCUUUCGUUCCACCGGCACCACAUUUGCUCAGGCCAAUCUACACCCCGUGGCCAUUAAAAGUUAUCAAAAUCAUGACGCUGCACCCCAAGGUUUAGGUUCUAGGGGGCGCCAAAGAUAACACUAAAAUCCACAUAUUUAAAAGUCUUAUAACUUUUUAUUUUUGUCCUCACUGGCCUCCAAGUUUUCUAGGAUGAUGCAAUGUCCAGCCAUCAACACAUUUGUGAAGGAAUUUUUACUCCCCAAAAGAGCGCCCCCCCAUGGCAGGAGAAAAAAGUCCAUUUUUUCUUGUCCCCUAAGGUGAAAAUACACAUUGUUGAGUGUCACGCCUAUACGCUUUGUCAAAAUGACACAAAAAUUGACACACACAUGUAACUCAAUAAGAUCUACGAAAAAGUCAAUGCGCGCGUAUCUGUCAAAUGUACGGUUAAAGGGUUAUUCCGCAUUUUUUGCCGAUCCGCACACAUUGGAAUGUGGCUAACUCCUCCUAAGGCUUUCGUUCCACCGGCACCACAUUUGCUCAGGCCAAUCUACACCCCAUGGCCAUUAAAAGUUAUCAAAAUCAUGACGCUGCACCCCACGGUUUAGGUUCUAGGGGGCGCCAAAGAUAACCCUAAAAUCCACAUAUUUAAAAGUCUUAUAACUUUUUAUUUUUGUCCUCACUGGCCUCCAAGUUUUCUAGGAUGAUGCAAUGUCCAGCCAUCAACACAUUUGUGAAGGAAUUUUUACUCCCCAAAAGAGCGCCCCCCCAUGGCAGGAGAAAAAAUUCCAUUUUUUCUUGUCCCCUAAGGUGAAAAUACAUAUUGUUGAGAUUCACGCCUAUACGCUUUGUCAUAUUGACACAAAAUUUGACAAUCACGUGCCUUGCCUGGUAUCAUUUUUUUCAGCACAACCUCACCUGUGCGAAUUUACAGUUAUUUCAUCAUGUUGACAUACUGAAUUUACACAAUGGACCCAAAUUCACACACAAAACAUAAAAUCCGAGUGGAAAAAAGUAACAUUUUUACUGUGAAAACCACAAAUAUGUGUGAUGAACUGUUUUUAAAACUUAAACUUCAAAUAAAAAUUGUAAACUUCAAAACAUAUGCAAAUGUUUAACAAAGAACAUAGUGAUUUACCUCUAUUUACAUCAAAAUGCAGGCAAUGGCCCAGGCGUUCUUUGUAAAAUUAUUUACAAAACACUGUAUUGUAGCAAUCAAGACAACCCUGGAUGUGAAACCCACACAUUCCUUACAGGAAAGUUUCCUUAUCUGGUCCCAGGAAACAGGAUAUAAAUCUUUCCAGACGUGUUUGCACUUUCAGGUUAAAUAAGUGACCCAACCGGAGGUUGACUAAACCUCUGACUCUUCAGGAUUGGUCAGUUCGGCGAACAGAGACAGAGUUUUUAUUACCUUUCAAACUGACUCCAUUUGCUGACCAUCUAAAUAAACAUUAACCUUAACCCAGAUCUCCCAUUUGAGAUUAAGCGUCUUAAAGUGUGUGAACAUACGGACCCCAGGAUAAGGGGGGACACUGACCUCCAGACCUCGGUCGUAAAACCCUGCUCGACCAUACACUGAUAAAGACUGCAUUCCUUUGGUGAAAGAAUACAAAUGACUGAUCAUGACAUCUUAUGCAUUCAGCAAUGUACUAAUCUGUCUAAUCAUGAAAUUUGUGUUAAAAUGAGAUGUUUCCCGUUUUUCUAUGUGCUUCAGAAGCCAAGUUAUCUUAUCUGACAGAAUAAAUCCUUAUUCUUUUGUUCUUUAGACCAACAGCUUUUCAGACUGUUUCAUGAACUUUUAAGAGUUAAAUUUAUUGACUAUGAAUCCUAAGUUUACUCUAAGUAACAGAAAUAGUUUAGAAAUGUUUGGUUUAUAUUUUAGUUAUUUAUUUAGUAUCUUAACCAUUAGGUGGUUAUAAUGUCACUGAAUAAUCUGAAUGUGAGUAUUUAGAAUCCAUUAUUAAUCAUGAUGACGUUCAUUCACAUGUGUUUACUCUUUUGUUGUUCACAGUUUCUAUGUGUUACUAUCUGUUUCAUUUCAGAGUAAUUUAGCAUGUUCAAUGUGAUACUUAAAACAUAAUGAGAAUGUUUGAUGUGAUCCUACACUUCAUUCAUAUGUGUUUAGUAUCAAAUUAUUUAUCAUGAAACCAAGCAUUCAAUGAUAUUAAUCAUAGUGAGUGAGUAUCAGAUCUGACUCUUUUACCAGCCAAAAGAAUAAGUUAGAUCAAAUAAUCAGAGACCCGAUGACCCCUCCUCUUUCUCCUCAGACACUCCCAGUGUGAGAAGAUAAAACCAGUGGAGUGGGGUUGCUCACUCUCUUACGCUCUCUUACGCUCUCUUAUCUCUUUUUCCUCUUAUUCCUCUUAUCUCUUAUUCCUCUUAUGCUUCUGCUCUUCUGCUGACUCUCUUGUCCCCGGCUCUUAUGCCCCUUCUCUUCUGUCCACACCCUUCUGUGGUGCGUUUCUUUGUUUUCUCUUAGAACUUUUUCUUAGUCUUCUAAGUUUUACGCCACGUGUUGAUUCACGUUGAUUUUUCUUUAACAUCGUCUUAGUUCAAGUUUUGAAACUUCAACUUUUUGUGCGCAUAGCAAUUCAAGAUUAAGCCUUUGAUUGAUUUUUCUUUAAUUUCGCGAAGCCAUUUUUGAAAGUUUUCUCUGCUCGAGUCUCGUUUUUCUGAGUUUUCUGCGUGAUUCAAAGUCACCUCUGAACGCAACCCAGCAGGCCCAGGUCAUCCUCUGUACCAGAGUUUUAAGUGAGACCAAAGAAGUACCCAAACGAGCAUCCACAGGAUCCACAGGCGCUGGCUUUGCUUCGGACCCGAGUGCUGCAACUCCUGGCUCAUCCUUCGGCUGACUUCAGUCAUCUUCUGAGCUGAACCGCUCGAACCGCCAGUAGCCCGGACCUUCGGAACCUGCUCCAUCUUCUCCAAGGACCAGUCUCACUUAAGUAUGCAAACCUCCAGAGCUCUAAAGAGGGCUGGUGCUGUCUCCUGCGUUCAACUCAGAUAUCCUCUUAUUUCUGGUGAUCUUAGAUUCCUCCAAAUCCACAUCCGAGUUUAUCUCGACACCAAAGUUAGUGUAGGUUAAUAUGUUAGCGCAUAUUCACUCACUAUCAUUAACUUUAGUGCUCCUAGCCUGACUCAGAAUCUUUAUUUAUUCACCUAUUAUUAUUUAUCUUCAUCAUCUUAUCAUUUAUUGCAUGUGUGUUGUACCAUCAUUUAUCCUGUAAUAAACAGAUCAUUAUUUUUCUAAGUUCCUGUCUGUUAGUGUUCUUCCAGAAGUGGAGUCCCUGAAAUUAGAAUUUCGACUUAAGAUAUGAGACUGAUUAAUUAAGACUGAUUAAUUAAGACUGAUUAAUUAAAACUGACUUGAUGUUUGAUUUCUGAAUUAAACUUUUGUUUUCUUUAUUUUCCCACCAUUAAGGGUGGGUGGUGCCCCUUUCAACGAGUGCAUAAAUGUCAUAAUUUGAGAUUAUUAAUCUUCAGACAUUUAUUAUAAAUUCCAAUCGCCAAGUAUUAUUUUGGUGCGGCCUUGUGAGGCUCAUUUCAAAUCGCUACAUAUAUUUUGGUGCGACCGUAUGAGGCUCAUUUCAAAUCACUACAUAUAUUUUGGAGCCCCUGCGUGAGGCGUUUCAAACAAAACUUCUGGAUACUAACAGACAACCUAAAACUUAGCCUUCCAAAUUGAUGCGAGAAACUUAUUUCCAGGCUAUUUUAGACUUAAUCACAAUCAAUGCUAUGCUUGCUGAAGUUGCUUGACUAAGUUCUGAUGUUUUCCUGAUCUAUGCAUAAAACCUUUAUGCUCUGUGUUUCACACACUUUUGUACUACAUGCCUGUAGUCUGUGUUUGAGCUGGACAGCGUGAAAUGUUGUUCUGAGUAGCAGUGAGACUGACUCUUCUGCUCUGUCUAGACUGUCCAAUAUUUAAGUGCACGAUUGUUGCGUCGCCGUACGCUUGUAUUUAAGGCCUUUGGCUGAACCCAGUGUUCGCGAUGCUCCGAGCUGUGGUUUCAAGCCCCUGAAGUCUCUGUAGUCUGCUACGAGUUUCUAGUAACUAUAUGGGAUUCAGAUUUCCUCCUUUCCCCUGACAGAUUAGCUACCUGUCACAGGAAACCACUGUAACAGUGGGAGGUUGUUGUUUGAUUGAAUUCAGACAAAAUUUGUGUUCACAAAUCGCCGCAUUUGUGAUUUUAAAGUCUGCAGUUGAAUCUGCUGUUGAGGGAUUUGUCACUUUGAUUCUUGUCACUAUAGUCUGCUAUGAAGUUCUAGUAACUAUAUGGGAUUUAGAUUUCCUCCUUUCCCCUGACAGAUAAGCUAACUGUCACAGGAAACCACUGUAACAGUGGGAGGUUGUUGUUUGAAUGAAUUCAGAUAAAAUUUGUGAUCACAAAUCGCCGCAUUUGUGAUUUUUAAGUCUGCAGUUGAAUCUGCUGUUGAGGGAUUUGCCACUUUGAUUCUUGUUCCUGUAAAUGAUUUUAUUGAACCAAUCUGCCUGAGCAGAUGGUGGAAAGUUCUAUGUUUGAGGGUGCAGAUGCAGCCUGCUGUGAAAUGUUAACCCUUUGUUGUCAGUGGAGAGACUGACCAUUUGACCUUAAGCAGAUAAGGCCCUUCAAGGAGGCAGAGCCUAAAGGCCCCUUCCUGCAUACUUCCCAACUUCACACAGCCACAAGAGGCUAGUUGGAUGACUGUUUCCUCUUUAGGGCCCGAGCGUAGCUGCUAAGCAGCUGCGAGAGCCCUCUUGUUCCUGCAUGUUUCCUUCUUUCGUUAUUAUUUUUCCUCCGCUUUAAACUGGAAAAUGGCCCACUUCCCACUGGCGAAAACUCAGGAAAUUUGGCAGGACGACCGGGCCUGGUGAAAAAUUCGAUAUUCUGAAGUCGCCCAAACAAUAAAAUGCAAAAUGGCUCCAUAGCGCCCCCUAAGGUGAAAAUUCACAUGACGGCUGUACGCUUUGUCAUAUUGACACAAAAAUUGACACACACGUGUAUCUCAAUAAGAUCUACAAAAAAGUCAGUGCGGGCGUAUCUGUCAAAUGUACGGUUAAUGGGUUAUUUUGCAUUUUUUGCAGAUCUGCACACAUUGGAAUUUCGCUAACUCCUCCGAAGGCUUUCGUUCGACCGGCACCACAUUUGCACAGGCCAAUCUACCCCCCAUGGCCAUUAAAAGUUGUACAAAUCAUGACGCUGCACCCCACGGUUUACGUUCUAGGGGGCGCCAAAGAUAACCCAAAAUCCACAUUCUUAAAAGUCUUAUAACUUUUUAUUUUUGUCCUCACUGCCCUCCAAGUUUUCUAGGAUGAUGCAAUGUCCAGCCAUCAACACAUUUGUGAAGGAAUUUUUACUCCCCAAAAGAGCGCCCCCCCAUGGCAGGAGAAAAAAGUCAAUUUUUUCUUGUCCCCUUACAUGAAAAUACACAUUGUUGAGUGUCACGCCUGAACGCUUUGUCAUAUUGACACAAAAAUUGACAAUCAUGUGUAUCUCAAUUAGAUCUACGAAAAAGUCAAAAAGCGCGUAUCUGUAUAAUGUACGGUUAAAGGGCUAUUUCGCAUUUUUUGCCGAUUAGCACACAUUGGAAUGUGGCUAUCUCCUCCUAAGGCUUUCGUCCCACCGAUACCAAAUUUGCUCAGGGCAAUCUACACCCCAUGCCCAUUCAAAGUUGUAAAAAUCAUGCCGCUGCACCCCAUGGUUUACGUUCUAGGGGGCGCCAAAGAUGACCCAAAUAUCCACAUUCUUAAAAGUCGUUUUGGCCACUGCAGGAGUACAGAGUACUGCAGGAUACACACACACAGACACACACACACACAGACACACACACACACGGACACACACACACACGCACACACACAAACACACACACACACACACACACACACACACACACACACACACAUACACACUCAGAGUCUGUUUUUCAGCACCUGCAAAAACAUGCUAUUUACAUAUUUGACAACAAUGCAGAGACUUCCUUUUGCCCCUGAAAAAAAUGAAAUUUCAAACACAACUUGACUGCUCAUUUCUCCAAAAGACAACCAUGAAGCUCCAUCCAAACCUGAAGCAGGCAGUUGGUGCAUGUGUACAGUAACCUGAGGGGAGUGAGGUGACUGCUUCUGAGGAGAACAUGAGCAGUCAAGAUUCACCUUGGAGCUAGAACAGGGACGUGCACAUGAUUAUACAGGGGCAGGGGCUCAAGUUUUUUCCAGUCGUUUAGACAAUAUGGAAAUUAAUGUGAAAUUAAAAAACAAAGUAUUAAUAGAAAGGUAAUGACUGUCCUGUGUAGGUGACAGUGAUAUCCAAUAGGCUAGGCACUCACGAGGCUGGCUGUGGCAAGUGUAAGUGAAAGCAACACGCACUGGCAGGAAGAACAGCAAACGCCGAUGAAGGAAAAGGGUCUUUGCAGUGAUGGGCGUUACCAGAGAGGGCGAUGGCCAGAGGACACAAAUGGGACGGGGAGGCAGCGCGUUGGGGGGGGGGACGCGACACAGCUCGGGCCCGCCAGUGCCCCAACGGGGCCCUAGUAUUUAGGGCCCGAGCGUAGCUGCUAAGCAGCUGCGAGAGCCCUCUUGUUCCUGCAUGUUUCCUUCUUUCGUUAUUAUUUUUCCUCCGCUUUAAACUGGAAAAUGGCCCACUUCCCACUGGCGAAAACUCAGGAAAUUUGGCAGGACGACCGGGCCUGGUGAAAAAUUCGAUAUUCUGAAGUCGCCCAAACAAUAAAAUGCAAAAUGGCUCCAUAGCGCCCCCUAAGGUGAAAAUUCACAUGACGGCUGUACGCUUUGUCAUAUUGACACAAAAAUUGACACACACAUGUAUCUCAAUAAGAUCUACAAAAAAGUCAGUGCGGGCGUAUCUGUCAAAUGUACGGUUAAUGGGUUAUUUUGCAUUUUUUGCAGAUCUGCACACAUUGGAAUUUCGCUAACUCCUCCGAAGGCUUUCGUUCGACCGGCACCACAUUUGCGCAGGCCAAUCUACCCCCCAUGGCCAUUAAAAGUUGUACAAAUCAUGACGCUGCACCCCACGGUUUACGUUCUAGGGGGCGCCAAAGAUAACCCAAAAUCCACAUUCUUAAAAGUCUUAUAACUUUUUAUUUUUGUCCUCACUGCCCUCCAAGUUUUCUAGGAUGAUGCAAUGUCCAGCCAUCAACACAUUUGUGAAGGAAUUUUUACUCCCCAAAAGAGCGCCCCCCCAUGGCAGGAGAAAAAAGUCAAUUAGGGCCCGAGCGUAGCUGCUAAGCAGCUGCGAGAGCCCUCUUGUUCCUGCAUGUUUCCUUCUUUCGUUAUUAUUUUUCCUCCGCUUUAAACUGGAAAAUGGCCCACUUCCCACUGGCGAAAACUCAGGAAAUUUGGCAGGACGACCGGGCCUGGUGAAAAAUUCGAUAUUCUGAAGUCGCCCAAACAAUAAAAUGCAAAAUGGCUCCAUAGCGCCCCCUAAGGUGAAAAUUCACAUGACGGCUGUACGCUUUGUCAUAUUGACACAAAAAUUGACACACACAUGUAUCUCAAUAAGAUCUACAAAAAAGUCAGUGCGGGCGUAUCUGUCAAAUGUACGGUUAAUGGGUUAUUUUGCAUUUUUUGCAGAUCUGCACACAUUGGAAUUUCGCUAACUCCUCCGAAGGCUUUCGUUCGACCGGCACCACAUUUGCGCAGGCCAAUCUACCCCCCAUGGCCAUUAAAAGUUGUACAAAUCAUGACGCUGCACCCCACGGUUUACGUUCUAGGGGGCGCCAAAGAUAACCCAAAAUCCACAUUCUUAAAAGUCUUAUAACUUUUUAUUUUUGUCCUCACUGCCCUCCAAGUUUUCUAGGAUGAUGCAAUGUCCAGCCAUCAACACAUUUGUGAAGGAAUUUUUACUCCCCAAAAGAGCGCCCCCCCAUGGCAGGAGAAAAAAGUCCAUUUUUUCUUGUCCCCUUACAUGAAAAUACACAUUGUUGAGUGUCACGCCUGAACGCUUUGUCAUAUUGACACAAAAAUUGACAAUCAUGUGUAUCUCAAUUAGAUCUACGAAAAAGUCAAAAAACGCGUAUCUGUAUAAUGUACGGUUAAAGGGCUAUUUCGCAUUUUUUGCCGAUUAGCACACAUUGGAAUGUGGCUAUCUCCUCCUAAGGCUUUCGUCCCACCGAUACCAAAUUUGCUCAGGGCAAUCUACACCCCAUGCCCAUUCAAAGUUGUAAAAAUCAUGCCGCUGCACCCCAUGGUUUACGUUCUAGGGGGCGCCAAAGAUGACCCAAAUAUCCACAUUCUUAAAAGUCGUUUUGGCCACUGCAGGAGUACAGAGUACUGCAGGAUACACACACACACACACACACACACACACACACACACACACACACACACACACACACACACACACACACACACACACACACACACACACACACACACACACACACAUACACACUCAGAGUCUGUUUUUCAGCACCUGCAAAAACAUGCUAUUUACAUAUUUGACAACAAUGCAGAGACUUCCUUUUGCCCCUGAAAAAAAUGAAAUUUCAAACACAACUUGACUGCUCAUUUCUCCAAAAGACAACCAUGAAGCUCCAUCCAAACCUGAAGCAGGCAGUUGGUGCAUGUGUACAGUAACCUGAGGGGAGUGAGGUGACUGCUUCUGAGGAGAACAUGAGCAGUCAAGAUUCACCUUGGAGCUAGAACAGGGACGUGCACAUGAUUAUACAGGGGCAGGGGCUCAAGUUUUUUCCAGUCGUUUAGACAAUAUGGAAAUUAAUGUGAAAUUAAAAAACAAAGUAUUAAUAGAAAGGUAAUGACUGUCCUGUGUAGGUGACAGUGAUAUCCAAUAGGCUAGGCACUCACGAGGCUGGCUGUGGCAAGUGCAAGUGAAAGCCACACGCACUGGCAGGAAGAACAGCAAACGCCGAUGAAGGAAAAGGGUCUUUGCAGUGAUGGGCGUUACCAGAGAGGACGAUGGCCAGAGGACGCGAAUGGGACGGGGAGGCAGCGCGUUGGGGGGGGGGGGGGGCGCAACACAGCUCGGGCCCGCCAGUGCCCCAACGGGGCCCUAGUUUCUUCUUCUUCUCCACUUGUGUUGAGCUUGUGCAGUUACCCCAACUCCAUACUGCCCCACAUGGUUGCUUUUGGUAUUGAGCUAACACUGCUAUUAUCUGUCUGCAGUAUCAGCUAGCUGUACUGCCUCUCUGUAGUCAGUGUGUAACACUCUACAGACAUAACUCAAGUGAUUGACUUGGUUGAUGAAGUUUGAUGUGCUUAUUCUAAAUCAUUGAUCAUUGAUUUUUGAUUUUAAUCUUUGUUAUAAGAGCCUCCGUAAGGUAUUGAUGAAGUAACUCCUUGAAUCAAUCACCUGAUCUUGUUGUUACUUAUCACACCAUUGAGCAGUUUUACUGUUCCCUAUAAUACAUGAAUGUAUUAACCCUCCUCAUAAGAUUAAUUAAUUAAUGAACAAAUUAAUUAAUACUUGAAAUUUCUUUUAACAUUUCAGAUGAAUUGGGUAGUUGAAUCUUUGGCUUUAUUGCGAUUUGUGAAUUAAUUUCAGAGUUAAUUCCUUAAUUGACAAUUUCAUUGAUUUUUCAAAUUCAUCCAACUGCAGCAGGCAGUUUAUUUAAGCUUUGCUGAUCUCUGCAACACAGAGACAAAUUGAACCCUUUAUUCAAUGGUUCUGUAUCUGAUGUUAAAUUUAAUUUAACAUCAUUUCACUUUUUUCAAUUUUCAUUGAAAUGAAUUUAACUUUAUGGUUUUUUCUCUCCAUUAGAGAUCUACUCAGAUAGGCUCUUUCUCUUUAUCAAGCACUGAUAAAUUAAGUCGAUUAACCCACUUAAUUUGAUAUUUUGCUUCUUCCUUUCAUUUUAAGUCAACUCAAACUCAUCAACCAACCAGCUGCACCUCUUUACCAAAACCAAACAUGCCUAACACAAAAGAGUCCAGCCAGGGAGACCCCCUGAGGGACAUACACACAGUGUUGGCAAACUUGACUAGUCAGUUGAUACCUCAAUACAUGACUAAGAUUCAAAAGGCCAAACCCUCCAAUCCGGAGGAUGCAAUGGCUGACUUACUGGAAACAGCCUUAACCACGACACUUCGUGACAAAGAGCUCACUAGAUGCAUGUCUGUCAUGAUGUCUUCUCAGCUUGAGUAUAAAGACUACUUGCUGGAAUGCGCUUUAGCAAAGAUAAAGGCGCAAAAAGACGAAAACAGCGCUCUGAAAAAGACGCUAGAGGAGACUAAGAAGUCUCUAAGUGUUUUAGAAAAACACAGUGCCAGAUGUGAAGCGUCAAAGCUUCCCUCACUGAUAAGUCAUGAAGAAAAUCUUGAUCUCAAAGACAAGAUUGAAAGACUUAAUGAAACCCUUUACAAAAAGGAGAAAGAACUCGAUGACACGAAUAAGCAGCUUGCUAAGACCACAGAGGAUCUGAUACAGUCAGAAUCCCUACUAGAGCAAGCAACAGAAGAUGUAAAAACUUUGAAAGCACUGGUCAAAGUGCGUGCUGAAGCUCUUGAAGUUAAGGAGAAGCAAACUUCUACCUUACAGCACCAGCUCCAGAUAGCUCAAAGACAGUUAAUUCUUUGUCAAGAACGGCAAGAAAAGACAGACAAAGAACUUGAAGAUGCCCAAAGAGAGUUACAAUGCUCCCUCCAGUCAGGUCGAGCCCAAAGAGAACGCAUGGAGCAAACGUUUCUUGAAGAAAUGAUAGGUGAUCAGCCUCCUGAGAGAGCGCCAUCACUUCCUUCCAAACCAACUCUUAAGUAUCUCUCUCAGCAUCAUGACAGGACCCUGCUUGACCCUGAGAGGUCAUCCUUAAACCAAGAGUCCUACUCUCCUCCUCAUGAUGGCUUCUUACCAUUUCCCUCAGACAGGGAUCUUGACAAAAUUGCUCGCAUCAUAGCACGCUUUGAACCUGAGCACCAAGGUGCUACUGACACCUGCACCUACUUGAAAGACAUUGACUUUUACCUGAGGAAAUUUCCAGGUGCAACCGUUGAUGACAAAAUCUACCUUAUUAAAGCAACGUCAAGUCGAGAGGUUAGCAGUUUCCUUGAAAGACAGCCUUAUCAUGUCAGAAAUAAUUAUGACUUGCUCUGCCAAGCAUUAAUUGAAGAGUUUUCUGAUCAUUUGACCCAGACAGGCCUCUCUGCUGCUCUGUCUAUUAAACAAGGGAGAUCAGAACCUCCCCAACAGUAUUACAACCGCUUACGCGAAGCUUACUUUGGUUUCCGAAAUGAACCAGAAAUGGAGGAGGACUUGAACUUCAAAACGCUGUUCGUCCAGAACCUCCACCCUACCACCAGUCAUCACCUUGGCGUCUUAGCUUGUCCAAACACUUUGACUAGCCGACAGCUUCGUGAACUUGCUGUAAAAGGUUUUGCCAAACAACGACAAACUUUGGCUAAGAAAGCAGAGCCUGUUACUCUGUUGGCUAUGGAGACAAAAUCACUGCCCAUGGAGCUGAACGAAGCUUCAGAUUGUGUAUUUUCAGGCUCCGGUAAGCCUCCAAAUGAGUGGUUAACCAGGCCUCCAAAACCUUUUCGACCUCAACACACUCACAAAGGUCAAAGUUACACACCAAGGCCCAGGUCUGACACAGACCAAUGCCCGGUAAACUUUGAGACCAACUGUUGUUAUUCAGACUCCCGUCAUGGUGGGUUUUAUCCCAGACAAAGGAAAAACCACCAACACCACCAAAGGGGGGUGAAUGACUGGCAGAAUCAGAGUAAAUCACACUCUCAGAAACGACGAUCUUAUUAUCCACCUCAAUCGGUUUCAUCCACUUUGAAGGUGAAUAAACAUGACUACUCAGCUAACCACUGAGAUUAACACUGUGGAGUCAUGAAGGUGUGAGUCCUGCGAAAGCAGAAGUCACCCAGCCAAAGCUAAAUGACUCCAAUAAGAUAUCCAAAUGCUGUGGUGAUACAUUGAUGACUGCAAUCCCAGUUGCUGCUUUCUUUGUUAGCAUUUGUCUCUCCUCUGUCAAUAUAGUCAGCUUGUCAGCUGUCAAAUAUCCCAUGAACAGAUUAAAACCUGAAAUUUCUGUCAUUAAGACUCAGAUUGACAAAUUUCAGACUUAAUAGCAGAUAAUUAGUCAAACCGAUAAGAGCAUCAUCCCCAAGUUUAACAGACAAAGUUUAAGAGAAACUCUGUGCAGUAAACUUUUGAUGUUUGUGAUUCAGGUUGACUAUGCUCAUACACAGAUGGUUAAUAUGUCUAUAGCAGACAUUUCUUUUCCACCUAAGUCUUAACCAUUUUUGAAACUGAAAUUGAACUUUCAGACUUCUCCAGCAAGCAUGAAAAACAGCUAUAGCUUUAGAUCCAGUUAGCAUUCAGACUAAAGAGUGCUUUUCUAAGUCUCAUUAAUAUUGAAAAUUAGGAGAUUUUCUUUCACAUUAGUCUACCAAUAGUUAACUGAGAAGAGUCUAACAACUAGACGAUUUUAUUUGAUAGCUUAAUGCAUGCUUAAUUUUAUCUCAAAGCAGUACUAGUGAUUCACAUAGUGAUGACGAGACGCAUCAGUCCUAUUUGCAUACACCUGCUGCUGCUGCUGCUUCAUGGUUGUCUACUCGUCGUCCCGAUGCUCCAUGGACAGGACCACCGUGACGAAGGGGGACUGUAGCAAUCAAGACAACCCUGGAUGUGAAACCCACACAUUCCUUACAGGAAAGUUUCCUUAUCUGGUCCCAGGAAACAGGAUAUAAAUCUUUCCAGACGUGUUUGCACUUUCAGGUUAAAUAAGUGACCCAACCGGAGGUUGACUAAACCUCUGACUCUUCAGGAUUGGUCAGUUCGGCGAACAGAGACAGAGUUUUUAUUACCUUUCAAACUGACUCCAUUUGCUGACCAUCUAAAUAAACAUUAACCUUAACCCAGAUCUCCCAUUUGAGAUUAAGCGUCUUAAAGUGUGUGAACAUACGGACCCCAGGAUAAGGGGGGACACUGACCUCCAGACCUCGGUCGUAAAACCCUGCUCGACCAUACACUGAUAAAGACUGCAUUCCUUUGGUGAAAGAAUACAAAUGACUGAUCAUGACAUCUUAUGCAUUCAGCAAUGUACUAAUCUGUCUAAUCAUGAAAUUUGUGUUAAAAUGAGAUGUUUCCCGUUUUUCUAUGUGCUUCAGAAGCCAAGUUAUCUUAUCUGACAGAAUAAAUCCUUAUUCUUUUGUUCUUUAGACCAACAGCUUUUCAGACUGUUUCAUGAACUUUUAAGAGUUAAAUUUAUUGACUAUGAAUCCUAAGUUUACUCUAAGUAACAGAAAUAGUUUAGAAAUGUUUGGUUUAUAUUUUAGUUAUUUAUUUAGUAUCUUAACCAUUAGGUGGUUAUAAUGUCACUGAAUAAUCUGAAUGUGAGUAUUUAGAAUCCAUUAUUAAUCAUGAUGACGUUCAUUCACAUGUGUUUACUCUUUUGUUGUUCACAGUUUCUAUGUGUUACUAUCUGUUUCAUUUCAGAGUAAUUUAGCAUGUUCAAUGUGAUACUUAAAACAUAAUGAGAAUGUUUGAUGUGAUCCUACACUUCAUUCAUAUGUGUUUAGUAUCAAAUUAUUUAUCAUGAAACCAAGCAUUCAAUGAUAUUAAUCAUAGUGAGUGAGUAUCAGAUCUGACUCUUUUACCAGCCAAAAGAAUAAGUUAGAUCAAAUAAUCAGAGACCCGAUGACCCCUCCUCUUUCUCCUCAGACACUCCCAGUGUGAGAAGAUAAAACCAGUGGAGUGGGGUUGCUCACUCUCUUACGCUCUCUUACGCUCUCUUAUCUCUUUUUCCUCUUAUUCCUCUUAUCUCUUAUUCCUCUUAUGCUUCUGCUCUUCUGCUGACUCUCUUGUCCCCGGCUCUUAUGCCCCUUCUCUUCUGUCCACACCCUUCUGUGGUGCGUUUCUUUGUUUUCUCUUAGAACUUUUUCUUAGUCUUCUAAGUUUUACGCCACGUGUUGAUUCACGUUGAUUUUUCUUUAACAUCGUCUUAGUUCAAGUUUUGAAACUUCAACUUUUUGUGCGCAUAGCAAUUCAAGAUUAAGCCUUUGAUUGAUUUUUCUUUAAUUUCGCGAAGCCAUUUUUGAAAGUUUUCUCUGCUCGAGUCUCGUUUUUCUGAGUUUUCUGCGUGAUUCAAAGUCACCUCUGAACGCAACCCAGCAGGCCCAGGUCAUCCUCUGUACCAGAGUUUUAAGUGAGACCAAAGAAGUACCCAAACGAGCAUCCACAGGAUCCACAGGCGCUGGCUUUGCUUCGGACCCGAGUGCUGCAACUCCUGGCUCAUCCUUCGGCUGACUUCAGUCAUCUUCUGAGCUGAACCGCUCGAACCGCCAGUAGCCCGGACCUUCGGAACCUGCUCCAUCUUCUCCAAGGACCAGUCUCACUUAAGUAUGCAAACCUCCAGAGCUCUAAAGAGGGCUGGUGCUGUCUCCUGCGUUCAACUCAGAUAUCCUCUUAUUUCUGGUGAUCUUAGAUUCCUCCAAAUCCACAUCCGAGUUUAUCUCGACACCAAAGUUAGUGUAGGUUAAUAUGUUAGCGCAUAUUCACUCACUAUCAUUAACUUUAGUGCUCCUAGCCUGACUCAGAAUCUUUAUUUAUUCACCUAUUAUUAUUUAUCUUCAUCAUCUUAUCAUUUAUUGCAUGUGUGUUGUACCAUCAUUUAUCCUGUAAUAAACAGAUCAUUAUUUUUCUAAGUUCCUGUCUGUUAGUGUUCUUCCAGAAGUGGAGUCCCUGAAAUUAGAAUUUCGACUUAAGAUAUGAGACUGAUUAAUUAAGACUGAUUAAUUAAGACUGAUUAAUUAAAACUGACUUGAUGUUUGAUUUCUGAAUUAAACUUUUGUUUUCUUUAUUUUCCCACCAUUAAGGGUGGGUGGUGCCCCUUUCAACGAGUGCAUAAAUGUCAUAAUUUGAGAUUAUUAAUCUUCAGACAUUUAUUAUAAAUUCCAAUCGCCAAGUAUUAUUUUGGUGCGGCCUUGUGAGGCUCAUUUCAAAUCGCUACAUAUAUUUUGGUGCGACCGUAUGAGGCUCAUUUCAAAUCACUACAGUAUAGUCUCACAAAUGUCACUUUUUAUUUAUGCCACUACAAAAAAACAUGAUGUAAAUGAUGCAUGAUGUAAAACAUGAUGUAAAAAACUUGUGUAGAUCCUCCUCUAUGUCAGUCCAUGUGUAAUUUUUCCAUAAUUCUUUGUUUUUUGCAGCAUUUUUGUUAGUGUAACUGCAGAUUGUGCUGACAGUGUCUAUGGCACAAAAAAAAAAAAAUUAAAAUGCCUCAACAUGAACCCCUGGUGGUCUCUGAGGGUGAAACCUGCUAACUGCUGCAGCUCUGUCAGCUUCAGUCUCCCAUGCAGAGCUCUGAGCGCAUGUGUGGCUCUGCACCCUUAGCAGCGUUGCUAACUCCUCAGUAAGGAAAGCCUGCUUCAUGUCAGAGUCUCUAAACUCCAGAAGAAGUCGAUAAAAGUCCCUUUCUUUCUAAAAAAAAGUCGUUAGGGGGUCUGAAAAGUCAUUGAGUCUAACAACAAAGUCGCUAGGUUUGCAACUACGUGUCCCAGACUGCAUCCCUGCUGAGAGUCCCUCCCUCCCUUCUCAUGUUGCAGGAAGAACGUAAGCGCCCGCCCCUUGUCAAUCAGUCACCAUAUAAUUUUGGAUUGGUUGUUGUGGUGAAGUUUUCCACCAAUAGGAGAGAUGUUGUGGUGUGUUUUUUUUUUUCUUUUGGCAAGCCUUUUCCGCCUGUAAGACCUGUCGCUAAUGUCUUCAUGCUAUGUUUUCCUGUCUCAUACAGCGCGAUCGAGCGCCGAACGUGAUCAAAAUAAGCAGAAAACAAGUAUCGCGGACAUAAUUUAUCAUAACUCUGGUUUUAUUUGGCCUAUCAACACAAUUUAAAAACUGGUAUAUAGGUUGAGGUCCUCACUUUUGAGAUAAGUUGAAACGGAGAGUCAACAAGGCUCCGUCUUGCAGCUACAUCCGGUUAAAUAUGUCAUGUGACUUGAACGCACACACAGACACGCACACACACACACACACACACACUCACACACACACACACACACACACUCAGAGUCUGGUUUUUAGCACCUGCAAAAACAUGCUAUUUACAUAUUUGACAAGAAUGCAGAGGCUCCUUUUGCCCCUGAAAAAAAUCAAAUUUCAAACACAACUUGACUGCUCAUUUCUCCAAAAGACAACCAUGAAGCUCCAUCCAAACCUGAAGCAGGCAGUUGGUGCAUGUGUACAGUAACCUGAGGGGAGUGAGGUGAGUGCUUCUGAGGAGAACAUGAGCAGUGAAGAUUCACCUUGGAGCUAGAACAGAGACAUGCACAUGAUUAUACAGGGGCAGGGGCUCAAGUUUUUUCCAGUCGUUUAUACAAUAUGGAAAUUAAUGUGAAAUUAAAACACAAAGUAUUAAUAGAAAGGUAAUGACUGUCCUGUGUAGGUGACAGUGAUAUCCAAUAGGCUAGGCACUCACGAGGCUGGCUGUGGCAAGUGUAAGUGAAAGCAACACGCACUGGCAGGAAGAACAGCAAACGCCGAUGAAGGAAAAGGGUCUUUGCAGUGAUGGGCGUUACCAGAGAGGGCGAUGGCCAGAGGACACAAAUGGGACGGGGAGGCAGCACGUUGGGGGGGGGACGCGACACGGCUCGGGCCCGCCAGUGCCCCAACGGGGUCCUAGUUAGGGCCCGAGCGUAGCUGCUAAGCAGCUGCGAGAGCCCUAUUAUUCCCCAAGUGGUUUUUCUUUGUUUCUUUUUAGGGCCCGAGCCAGCUGCAGAGCAGCCGGGCGUAGGCCCUAUUAUUCCCCAAGUGGUUUUUCUUUGUUUCUUUCUUUCUUUCUUUCUUUAGGGCCCGAGCCAGCUGCAGAGCAGCCGGGCGUAGGCCCUAUUAUUCCCCAAGUGGUUUUUCUUUGUUUCUUUCUUUCUUUUUUCUUUUUCCUCCCCUUUGAACUGGAAAAUGGCCCACUUCCCACUGGCGAAAACUCAUGAAAUUUGGCAGGACGACCGGGCCUGGUGAAAAAUUCGAUAUUCUGAAGUCGCCAAAACAAUAAAAUGCAAAAUGGCUCCAUAGCGCCCCCUAAGGUGGAAAUUCACACUAUUGACUGUCACGCCUGUACGCUUUGUCAUAUUGACACAAAAAUUGACACACACAUGUAUCUCAAUAAGAUCUACAAAAAAGUCAGUGCGGCCGUAUCUGUCAAAAUUACGGUUAAAGGGUUAUUUCGCAUUUUUUGCCGAUCCGCACACAUUGGAAUUUCGCUAACUCCUCCGAAGGCUUUCGUUCCACCGGCACCACAUUUGCUCAGGCCAAUCUACACCCCGUGGCCAUUAAAAGUUAUCAAAAUCAUGACGCUGCACCCCAAGGUUUAGGUUCUAGGGGGCGCCAAAGAUAACACUAAAAUCCACAUAUUUAAAAGUCUUAUAACUUUUUAUUUUUGUCCUCACUGGCCUCCAAGUUUUCUAGGAUGAUGCAAUGUCCAGCCAUCAACACAUUUGUGAAGGAAUUUUUACUCCCCAAAAGAGCGCCCCCCCAUGGCAGGAGAAAAAAGUCCAUUUUUUCUUGUCCCCUAAGGUGAAAAUACACAUUGUUGAGUGUCACGCCUAUACGCUUUGUCAAAAUGACACAAAAAUUGACACACACAUGUAACUCAAUAAGAUCUACAAAAAAGUCCAUGCGCGCGUAUCUGUCAAAUGUACAGUUAAAGGGUUAUUCCGCAUUUUUUGCCGAUACGCACACAUUGGAAUUUCGCUAACUCCUCCGAAGGCUUUCGUUCCACCGGCACCACAUUUGCUCAGGCCAAUCUACACCCCAUGGCCAUUAAAAGUUAUUCAAAUCAUGAUGCUGCACCCCAUGGUUUAGGUUCUAGGGGGCGCCAAAAAUAACCCAAAAAUCCACAUUCUUAAAUGUUUUAUAACUUUUUAUUUUUGUCCUCACUGGCCUCCAAGUUUUCUAGGAUGAUGCAAUGUCCAGCCAUCAACACAUUUGUGAAGGAAUUUUUACUCCCCAAAAGAGCGCCCCCCAUGGUAGGAGAAAAAAGUCAAUUUUUUCUUGUCCCCUUACAUAAAAAUACACAUUGUUGAGUGUCACGCCUGAACGGUUUGUCAUAUUGACACAAAAAUUUACAAUCAUGUGUAUCUCAAUUAGAUCUACGAAAAAGUCAAAGAGCGCGUAUCUGUAUAAUGUAUGGUUAAAGGGCUAUUUUGCAUUUUUUGCCGAUCCGCACACAUUGGAAUGUGGCUAACUCCUCCUAAGGCUUUCAUCCCACUGACACCAAAUUUGCUCAGGGCAAUCUACACCCCAUGCCCAUUCAAAGUUGUAAAAAUCAUGACGCUGCACCCCACGGUUUACGUUCUAGGGGGCGCCAAAGAUGACCCAAAAAUCCACAUUCUUAAAAGUCAUUUUGGCCACUGCAGGAGUACAGAGUACUGCAGUUCUAGGGGGCGCCAAAGAUGACCCAAAAAUCCACAUUCUUAAAAGUCUUUUUGGCCACUGCAGGAGUACAGAGUACUGCAGGAUACACACACAUAUACACACACGCCAACAUACACACACACACACACACACACACACACACACACAGACACACACACACACUCAGAGUCUGUUUUUUAGCACCUGCAAAAACAUGCUGUUUACAUAUUUGACAAGAAUGCAGAGGCUUCCUUUUGCCCCUGAAAAAAAUCAAAUUUCAAACACAACUUGACUGUUCAUUUCUCCAAAAGACAACCAUGAAGCUCCAUUUCAAACCUGAAGCAGAUAGUUGGUGCAUGUGUACAGUAACCUGAGGGGAGUGAGGUGACUAUUUCUGAGGAGAACAUGAGCAGUGAAGAUUCACCUUGGAGCUAGAACAGGGACGUGCACAUGAUUAUACAGGGGCAGGGGCUCAAGUUUUUUCCAGUCAUUUAUACAAUAUGGAAAUUAAUGUGAAAUUAAACCACAAAUAUGUGUGAUGAACUGUUUUUAAAACUUAAACUUCAAAUAAAAAUUGUAAACUUCAAAACAUAUGCAAAUUUUUAACAAAGAACAUAGUAAUUUACCUCUAUUUACAUCAAAAUGCAGGCAAUGGCCCAGGCGUUCUUUGUAAAAUUAUUUACAAAACACUGUAUAGUCUCACAAAUGUCACUUUUUAUUUAUGCCACUACAAAAAAACAUGAUGUAAAUGAUGCAUGAUGUAAAACAUGAUGUAAAAAACUUGUGUAGAUCCUCCUCUAUGUCAGUCCAUGUGUAAUUUUUCCAUAAUUCUUUGUUUUUUGCAGCAUUUUUGUUAGUGUAACUGCAGAUUGUGCUGACAGUGUCUAUGGCACAAAAAAAAAAAAAAAUUAAAAUGCCUCAACAUGAACCCCUGGUGGUCUCUGAGGGUGAAACCUGCUAACUGCUGCAGCUCUGUCAGCUUCAGUCUCCCAUGCAGAGCUCUGAGCGCAUGUGUGGCUCUGCACCCUUAGCAGCGUUGCUAACUCCUCAGUAAGGAAAGCCUGCUUCAUGUCAGAGUCUCUAAACUCCAGAAGAAGUCGAUAAAAGUCCCUUUCUUUCUAAAAAAAAGUCGUUAGGGGGUCUGAAAAGUCAUUGAAUCUAACAACAAAGUCGCUAGGUUUGCAACUACGUGUCCCAGACUGCAUCCCUGCUGAGAGUCCCUCCCUCCCUUCUCAUGUUGCAGGAAGAACGUAAGCGCCCGCCCCUUGUCAAUCAGUCACCAUAUAAUUUUGGAUUGGUUGUUGUGGUGAAGUUUUCCACCAAUAGGAGAGAUGUUGUGGUGUGUUUUUUUUUUCUUUUGGCAAGCCUUUUCCGCCUGUAAGACCUGUCGCUAAUGUCUGCAUGCUAUGUUUUCCUGUCUCAUACAGCGCGAUCGAGCGCCGAACGUGAUCAAAAUAAGCAGAAAAAAAGUAUCGCGGACAUAAUUUAUCAUAACUCUGGUUUUAUUUGGCCUAUCAACACAAUUUAAAAACUGGUAUAUAGGUUGAGGUCCUCACUUUUGAGAUAAGUUGAAACGGAGAGUCAACGAGGCUCCGUCUUGCAGCUACAUCCGGUUAAAUAUGUCAUGUGACUUGAACGCACACACAGACACACACACACGCACACACACACACACACACACACACACACACACACACACACACACUCAGAGUCUGGUUUUUAGCACCUGCAAAAACAUGCUAUUUACAUAUUUGACAAGAAUGCAGAGACUUCCUUUUGCCCCUGAAAAAAAUGAAAUUUCAAACACAACUUGACUGCUCAUUUCUCCAAAAGACAACCAUGAAGCUCCAUCCAAACCUGAAGCAGGCAGUUGGUGCAUGUGUACAGUAACCUGAGGGGAGUGAGGUGAGUGCUUCUGAGGAGAACAUGAGCAGUGAAGAUUCACCUUGGAGCUAGAACAGAGACAUGCACAUGAUUAUACAGGGGCAGGGGCUCAAGUUUUUUCCAGUCGUUUAUACAAUAUGGAAAUUAAUGUGAAAUUAAAACACAAAGUAUUAAUAGAAAGGUAAUGACUGUCCUGUGUAGGUGACAGUGAUAUCCAAUAGGCUAGGCACUCACGAGGCUGGCUGUGGCAAGUGUAAGUGAAAGCAACACGCACUGGCAGGAAGAACAGCAAACGCCGAUGAAGGAAAAGGGUCUUUGCAGUGAUGGGCGUUACCAGAGAGGGCGAUGGCCAGAGGACACAAAUGGGACGGGAAGGCAGCACGUUGGGGGGGGGGGGGGGGACGCGACACGGCUCGGGCCCGCCAGUGCCCCAACGGGGUCCUAGUUCUUUCUUUCUUUCUUCUUUUUCCUCCCCUUUGAACUGGAAAAUGGCCCACUUCCCACUGGCGAAAACUCAUGAAAUUUGGCAGGACGACCGGGCCUGGUGAAAAAUUCGAUAUUCUGAAGUCGCCCAAACAAUAAAAUGCAAAAUGGCUCCAUAGCGCCCCCUAAGGUGGAAAUUCACACUAUUGACUGUCACGCCUGUACGCUUUGUCAUAUUGACACAAAAAUUGACACACAUAUGUAUCUCAAUAAGAUCUACAAAAAAGUCAGUGCGGCCGUAUCUGUCAAAAUUACGGUUAAAGGGUUAUUUCGCAUUUUUUGCCGAUCCGCACACAUUGGAAUUUCGCUAACUCCUCCGAAGGCUUUCGUUCCACCGGCACCACAUUUGAUCAGGCCAAUCUACACCCCGUGGCCAUUAAAAGUUAUCAAAAUCAUGACGCUGCACCCCAAGGUUUAGGUUCUAGGGGGCGCCAAAGAUAACACUAAAAUCCACAUAUUUAAAAGUCUUAUAACUUUUUAUUUUUGUCCUCACUGGCCUCCAAGUUUUCUAGGAUGAUGCAAUGUCCAGCCAUCAACACAUUUGUGAAGGAAUUUUUACUCCCCAAAAGAGCGCCCCCCCAUGGCAGGAGAAAAAAGUCCAUUUUUUCUUGUCCCCUAAGGUGAAAAUACACAUUGUUGAGUGUCACGCCUAUACGCUUUGUCAAAAUGACACAAAAAUUGACACACACAUGUAACUCAAUAAGAUCUACAAAAAAGUCCAUGCGCGCGUAUCUAUCAAAUGUACAGUUAAAGGGUUAUUCCGCAUUUUUUGCCGAUACGCACACAUUGGAAUUACGCUAACUCCUCCGAAGGCUUUCGUUCCACCGGCACCACAUUUGCUCAGGCCAAUGUACACCCCAUUGCCAUUAAAAGUUAUUCAAAUCAUGAUGCUGCACCCCAUGGUUUAGGUUCUAGGGGGCGCCAAAAAUAACCCAAAAAUCCACAUUCUUAAAUGUUUUAUAACUUUUUAUUUUUGUCCUCACUGGCCUCCAAGUUUUCUAGGAUGAUGCAAUGUCCAGCCAUCAACACAUUUGUGAAGGAAUUUUUACUCCCCAAAAGAGCGCCCCCCCAUGGUAGGAGAAAAAAGUCAAUUUUUUCUUGUCCCCUUUCAUAAAAAUACACAUUGUUGAGUGUCACGCCUGAACGCUUUGUCAUAUUGACACAAAAAUUGACAAUCAUGUGUAUCUCAAUUAGAUCUACGAAAAAGUCAAAGAGCGCGUAUCUGUAUAAUGUACGGUUAAAGGGCUAUUUUGCAUUUUUUGCCGAUUCGCACACAUUGGAAUGUGGCUAUCUCCUCCUAAGGCUUUCGUCCCACCGAUACCAAAUUUGCUCAGGGCAAUCUACACCCCAUGCCCAUUCAAAGUUGUAAAAAUCAUGACGCUGCACCCCACGGUUUACGUUCUAGGGGGCGCCAAAGAUGACCCAAAAAUCCACAUUCUUAAAAGUCAUUUUGGCCACUGCAGGAGUACAGAGUACUGCAGUUCUAGGGGGCGCCAAAGAUGACCCAAAAAUCCACAUUCUUAAAAGUCUUUUUGGCCACUGCAGGAGUACAGAGUACUGCAGGAUACACACACAUAUACACACAUGCCAACAUACACACACACACACACACACACACACACACACACACACACACAGACACACACUCAGAGUCUGUUUUUUAGCACCUGCAAAAACAUGCUGUUUACAUAUUUGACAAGAAUGCAGAGGCUUCCUUUUGCCCCUGAAAAAAAUCAAAUUUCAAACACAACUUGACUGUUCAUUUUUCCAAAAGACAACCAUGAAGCUCCAUUUCAAACCUGAAGCAGAUAGUUGGUGCAUGUGUACAGUAACCUGAGGGGAGUGAGGUGACUAUUUCUGAGGAGAACAUGAGCAGUGAAGAUUCACCUUGGAGCUAGAACAGGGACGUGCACAUGAUUAUACAGGGGCAGGGGCUCAAGUUUUUUCCAGUCAUUUAUACAAUAUGGAAAUUAAUGUGAAAUUAAACCACAAAUAUGUGUGAUGAACUGUUUUUAAAACUUAAACUUCAAAUAAAAAUUGUAAACUUCAAAACAUAUGCAAAUUUUUAACAAAGAACAUAGUAAUUUACCUCUAUUUACAUCAAAAUGCAGGCAAUGGCCCAGGCGUUCUUUGUAAAAUUAUUUACAAAACACUGUAUAGUCUCACAAAUGUCACUUUUUAUUUAUGCCACUACAAAAAAACAUGAUGUAAAUGAUGCAUGAUGUAAAACAUGAUGUAAAAAACUUGUGUAGAUCCUCCUCUAUGUCAGUCCAUGUGUAAUUUUUCCAUAAUUCUUUGUUUUUUGCAGCAUUUUUGUUAGUGUAACUGCAGAUUGUGCUGACAGUGUCUAUGGCACAAAAAAAAAAAUUAAAAUGCCUCAACAUGAACCCCUGGUGGUCUCUGAGGGUGAAACCUGCUAACUGCUGCAGCUCUGUCAGCUUCAGUCUCCCAUGCAGAGCUCUGAGCGCAUGUGUGGCUCUGCACUCUUAGCAGCGUUGCUAACUCCUCAGUAAGGAAAGCCUGCUUCAUGUCAGAGUCUCUAAACUCCAGAAGAAGUCGAUAAAAGUCCCUUUCUUUCUAAAAAAAGUCGUUAGGGUGUCUGAAAAGUAAUUGAAUCUAACAACAAAGUCGCUAGGUUUGCAACUACGUGUCCCAGACUGCAUCCCUGCUGAGAGUCCCUCCCUCCCUUCUCAUGUUGCAGGAAGAACGUAAGCGCCCGCCCCUUGUCAAUCAGUCACCAUAUAAUUUUGGAUUGGUUGUUGUGGUGAAGUUUUCCACCAAUAGGAGAGAUGUUGUGGUGUGUUUUUUUUUUCUUUUGGCAAGCCUUUUCCGCCUGUAAGACCUGUCGCUAAUGUCUGCAUGCUAUGUUUUCCUGUCUCAUACAGCGCGAUCGAGCGCCGAACGUGAUCAAAAUAAGCAGAAAAAAAGUAUCGCGGACAUAAUUUAUCAUAACUCUGGUUUUAUUUGGCCUAUCAACACAAUUUAAAAACUGGUAUAUAGGUUGAGGUCCUCACUUUUGAGAUAAGUUGAAACGGAGAGUCAACGAGGCUCCGUCUUGCAGCUACAUCCGGUUAAAUAUGUCAUGUGACUUGAACGCACACAUAGACACACACACACACACACACACACACACACACACACACACACACACACACACUCAGAGUCUGGUUUUUAGCACCUGCAAAAACAUGCUAUUUACAUAUUUGACAAGAAUGCAGAGGCUCCUUUUGCCCCUGAAAAAAAUCAAAUUUCAAACACAACUUGACUGGUCAUUUCUCCAAAAGACAACCAUGAAGCUCCAUCCAAACCUGAAGCAGGCAGUUGGUGCAUGUGUACAGUAACCUGAGGGGAGUGAGGUGAGUGCUUCUGAGGAGAACAUGAGCAGUGAAGAUUCACCUUGGAGCUAGAACAGAGACAUGCACAUGAUUAUACAGGGGCAGGGGCUCAAGUUUUUUCCAGUCGUUUAUACAAUAUGGAAAUUAAUGUGAAAUUAAAACACAAAGUAUUAAUAGAAAGGUAAUGACUGUCCUGUUCUAGGUGACAGUGAUAUCCAAUAGGCUAGGCACUCACGAGGCUGGCUGUGGCAAGUGUAAGUGAAAGCAACACGCACUGGCAGGAAGAACAGCAAACGCCGAUGAAGGAAAAGGGUCUUUGCAGUGAUGGGCGUUACCAGAGAGGACGAUGGCCAGAGGACGCGAAUGGGACGGGGAGGCAGCGCGUUGGGGGGGGGGGGGGGGCGACACAGCUCGGGCCCGCCAGUGCCCCAACGGGGCCCUAGUUUCUUUUUCCUCCCCUUUGAACUGGAAAAUGGCCCACUUCCCACUGGCGAAAACUCAGGAAAUUUGGCAGGACGACCGGGCCUGGUGAAAAAUUUGAUAUUCCGAAGUCGCCCAAACAAGAAAAUGCAAAAUGGCUCCAUAGCGCCCCCUAAGGUGAAAAUUCACACUAUUGACUGUCACGCCUGUACGCUUUGUCAAAAUGACACAAAAAUUGACACACACAUGUAUCUCAAUAAGAUCUACAAAAAAGUCAGUGCGGGCGUAUCUGUCAAAUGUACGGUUAAAGGGUUAUUUUGCAUUUUUUGCCGAUCCGCACACAUUGGAAUUUCGCUAACUCCUCCGAAGGCUUUCGUUCCACCGGCACCACAUUUGCUCAGGCCAAUCUACACCCCAUGGCCAUUAAAAGUUAUUCAAAUCAUGACGCUGCACCCCAUGGUUUAGGUUCUAGGGGGCGCCAAAGAUAACCCUAAAAUCCACAUUUUUAAAAGUCUUAUAACUUUUUAUUUUUGCCCUCACUGGCCUCCAAAUUUUCUAGGAUGAUGCAAUGUCCAGCCAUCAACACAUUUGUGAAGGAAUUUUUACUCCCCAAAAGAGCGCCCCCCCAUGGCAGGAGAAAAAAGUCCAUUUUUUCUUGUCCCCUAAGGUGAAAAUACACAUUGUUGAGUGUCACGCCUGUACGCUUUGUCAAAAUGACACAAAAAUUGACACACACAUGUAUCUCAAUAAGAUCUACAAAAAAGUCAAUGUGCGCGUAUCUGUCUAAUGUACGGUUAAAGGGUUAUUCCGCAUUUUUUGCCGAUUCGCACACAUUGGAAUUUCGCUAACUCCUCCGAAGGCUUUCGUUCCACCGGCACCACAUUUGCUCAGGCCAAAUUACACCCCAUGGCCAUUAACAGUUAUUCAAAUCAUGACGCUGCAUCCCACGGUUUACGUUCUAGGGGGCGCCAAAGAUAACCCAAAAAUCCACAUUUUUAAAAGUCUUAUAACUUUUUAUUUUUGUCCUCACUGGCCUCCAAGUUUUCUAGGAUGAUGCAAUGUCCAGCCAUCACCACAUUUGUGAAGGAAUUUUUACUCCCUAAAAGAGCGCCCCCCCAUGGCAGGAGAAAAAAGUCAAUUUUUUCUUGUCCCCUAAGGUGAAAAUACACAUUGUUGACUGUCACGCCUGUACGCUUUGGCAAAAUGACACAAAAAUUGACAAUCAUGUGUAUCUCAAUUAGAUCUACGAAAAAGUCAAAGAGCGCGUAUCUGUAUAAUGUACGGUAAAAGGGCUAUUUUGCAUUUUUUGCCGAUUCGCACACAUUGGAAUUUCGCUAACUCCUCCUAAGGCUUUCGUUCCACCGGCACCACAUUUGCUCAGGCCAAAUUACACCCCAUGGCCAUUAAAAGUUAUUCAAAUCAUGACGCUGCACCCCACGGUUUACGUUUUAGGGGGCGCCAAAGAUGACCCAAAUAUACAUUACAGUAGACAAAGUAGUUUUGCCCACUGAGUGGCGCCAAAGGGACUUGUCUGUGGAGUCUGUGAGUCACUAUUGGCCGUUUUUGACUACUUUAGAUUUUACCUUUAUAUUUCCUCUUACAAAAUUUUUACCUUGCCUUGCCUGGUAUCAUUUUUUUCAGCACAACCUCACCUGUGUCAAUUUACAGUUAUUUUAUCAUUUUGACAUACUAUAUUUACACAUUGGACCCAAAUUCACACACAAAACAUAAAAUCCGAGUGGAAAAAAGUAACGUUUUUACUGUGAAAACCACAAAUAUGUGUGAUGAACUGUUUUUAAAACUUAAACUUCAAAUAAAAAUUGUAAACUUCAAAACAUAUGCAAAUUUUUAACAAAGAACAUAGUAAUUUACCUCUAUUGACAUCAAAAUGCAGGCAAUGGCCCAGGUGUUCUUUGUAAAAUUAUUUACAAAACACUGUAUAGUCUCACAAAUGUCACUUUUUAUUUAUGCCACUACAAAAAAACAUGAUGUAAAUGAUGCAUGAUGUAAAACAUGAUGUAAAAAACUUGUGUAGAUCCUCCUCUAUGUUAGUCCAUGUGUAAUUUUUCCAUAAUUCUUUGUUUUUUGCAGCAUUUUUGUUAGUGUAACUGCAGAUUGUGCUGACAGUGUCUAUGGCAAAAAAAAAAAAAAAAACUGAAAAUGCCUCAACAUGAACCCCUGGUGGUCUCUGAGGGUGAAACCUGCUAACUGCUGCAGCUCUGUCAGCUUCAGUCUCCCAUGCAGAGCUCGGAGCGCAUGUGUGGCUCUGCACCCUUAGCAGCGUUGCUAACUCCUCAGUAAGGAAAGCCUGCUUCAUGUCAGAGUCUCUAAACUCCAGAAGUCGAUAAAAGUCACUUUCUUUCUAAAAAAAAAGUCGUUAGGGGGUCUGAAAAGUCAUUGAAUCUAACAACAAAGUCGCUAGGUUUGCAACUACGUGUCCCAGACUGCAUCCCUGCUGAGAGUCCCUCCCUCCCUUCUCAUAUUGCAGGAAGAACGUAAGCGCCCGCCCCUUGUCAAUCAGUCACCAUAUAAUUUUGGAUUGGUUGUUGUGGUGAAGUUUUCCACCAAUAGGAGAGAUGUUGUGGUGUGUUUUUUUCUUUUCCUUUGGCAAGCCUUUUCCGCCUGUAAGACCUGUCGCUAAUGUCUGCAUGCUAUGUUUUCCUGUCUCAUACAGCGCGAUCGAGCGCCGAACGUGAUCAAAAUAAGCAGAAAACAAGUAUCGCGGACAUAAUUUAUCAUAACUCUGGUUUUAUUUGGCCUAUCAACACAAUUUAAAAACUGGUAUAUAGGUUGAGGUCCUCACUUUUGAGAUUAGUUGAAACGGAGAGUCAACGAGGCUCCGUCUUGCAGCUACAUCCGGUUAAAUAUGUCAUGUGACUUGAACGCACACACACACACACACACACACACACACACAGACACACACACACACGCACACACACACCGUCUUGCAGCUACAUCCGGUUAAAUAUGUCAUGUGACUUGAACGCACACACACACACACACACACACACACACACACACAGACACACACACACACGCACACUCAGAGUCUGGUUUUUAGCACCUGCAAAAACAUGCUAUUUACAUAUUUGACAAGAAUGCAGAGGCUUCCUUUUGCCCCUGAAAAAAAAUCAAAUUUCAAACACAACUUGACUGCUCAUUUCUCCAAAAGACAACCAUGAAGCUCCAUCCAAACCUGAAGCAGGCAGUUGGUGCAUGUGUACAGUAACCUGAGGGGAGUGAGGUGACUGCUUCUGAGGAGAACAUGAGCAGUGAAGAUUCACCUUGGAGCUAGAACAGGGACGUGUACAUGAUUAUACAGGGGCAGGGGCUCAAGUUUUUUCCAGUCGUUUAUACAAUAUGGAAAUUAAUGUGAAAUUAAAAAACAAAGUAUUAAUAGAAAGGUAAUGACUGUCCUGUGUAGGUGACAGUGAUAUCCAAUAGGCUAGGCACUCACGAGGCUGGCUGUGGCAAGUGUAAGUGAAAGCAACACGCACUGGCAGGAAGAACAGCAAACGCCGAUGAAGGAAAAGGGUCUUUGUAGUGAUGGGCGUUACCAGAGAGGGCGAUGGCCAGAGGACGCGAAUGGGACGGGGAGGCAGCGCGUUGGGGGGGGGGCGCGACACGGCUCGGGCCCGCCAGUGCCCACACGGGGCCCUAGUUAGGGCCCGAGCCAGCUGCAGAGCAGCCGGGCGUAGAGCCCUAUUAUUCCUGAUGAGUUUUUCUUUCUUCUUUCUUUCUUUCUUUCUUCUUAUUUUUCCUCCCCUUUGAAGGGGAAAAUGGCCCACUUCCCACUGGCGAAAACUCAGGAAAUUUGGCAGGAUGACCGGGCCUGGUGAAAAAUUCGAUAUUCUGAAGUCGCCCAAACAAUAAAAUGCAAAAUGGCUCCAUAGCGCCCCCUAAGGUGAAAAUUCACACUAUUGACUGUCACACCUGUACGCUUUGUCAUAUUGACACAAAAAUUGACACACACGUGUAUCUCAAUACGGUCUACGAAAAAGUCAGUGCGGGCGCAUCUGUGAAAUGUACGGUUAGAGGGUUAUUUCGCAUUUUUUGCCGAUCCGCACACAUUGGAAUUUCGCUAACUCCUCCGAAGGCAUUCCUUCCACCGGCACCACAUUUGCUCAGGCCAAUCUACACCCCAUGGCCAUUAAAAGUUGUACAAAUCAUGACGCUGCACCCCACGGUUUACGUUCUAGGGGGCGCCAAAGAUAACCCAAAAAUCCACAGUCUUAAAAGGCUUAUAACUUUUUAUUUUUGUCCUCACUGGCCUCCAAGUUCUCUAGGAUGAUGCAAUGUCCAGCCAUCAACACAUUUGUGAAGGAAUUUUUACUCGCCAAAAGAGCGCCCCCCCAUGGCAGGAGAAAAAAGUCCAUUUUUUCUUGUCUCCUAAGGCGAAAAUUCACACUAUUGACUGUCACGCCUUUACGCUUUGUCAUAUUGACACAAAAAUUGACACACACAUGUAUCUCAAUAAGAUCUACAAAAAAGUCAGUGCGGGCGUAUCUGUCAAAUGUACGGUUAAAGGGCUAUUUCGCAUUUUUUGCCGAUCCGCACACAUUGGAAUUUCGCUAACUCCUCCGAAGGCUUUCGUUCCAAAGGCACCACAUUUGCUCAGGCCAAUCUACACCCCAUGGCCAUUAAAAGUUGUACAAAUCAUGACGCUGCACCCCACGGUUUACGUUCUAGGGGGCGCCAAAGAUAACCCAAAAAUCCACAGUCUUAAAAGUCUUAUAACUUUUUAUUUUUGUCCUCACUGGCCUCCAAGUUCUCUAGGAUGAUGCAAUGUCCAGCCAUCAACACAUUUGUGAAGGAAUUUUUACUCGCCAAAACAGCGCCCCCCCAUGGCAGGAGAAAAAAGUCCAUUUUUUCUUGUCUCCUAAGGCGAAAAUACACAUUGUUGACUGUCACGCCUUUACGCUUUGUCAAAAUGACACAAAAUUUGACACACACAUGUAUCUCAAUAAGAUCUACGAAAAGUCAAUGCGAGCGUAUCUGUUCAAUGUACGGUUAAAGGGCUAUUUCGCAUUUUUUGCCGAUUCGCACACAUUGGAAUGUGGCUAACUCCUCCUAAAUCUUUUGUCCCAUCGGCUUCGAAUUUGCUCAGGUCAAUCUAGACCCCAUGGCCAUUCAAAGUUGUACAAAUCAUGACGCUGCACCCCACAGUUUACGUUCUAGGGGGCGCCAAAGAGGACCCAAAUAUCCACAUUUUUAAAAGUCUUAUAACUUUUUAUUUUUGUCCUCACUGGCCUCCAAGUUUUCUAGGAUGAUGCAAUGUCCAGCCAUCAACACAUUUGUGAAGGAAUUUUUUCUCCCCAAAAGAGCGCCCCCCCAUGGCAGGAGAAAAAGUCAAGUUUUUCCUGCCCAUCGCUCAAUGGCUCAAACGCAUCGCUCUCUCGGCAAAACCGAAAGGAGGAGCAACUUGCCAUUUGGAUAUAUACUAGCUGUGUUUGUGCCCUCACUCAUGGUCCAGACUUUUUUCAAAAAGGACAUGGAGUUUGUCUGCAGCGAGCGUUUUGGUAGAAACUGCGCCUCCCAUUCAUUAUAAUGGUAAAUGACCACAGACAAGUGCGCACACCAUCUUUGGACCUUGAGUGUGACGCGAUCGGGAGGGGUAGGCGGUCGCGCUGGGGGCGGCGCGACACUGCUCGGGCCCGCCAGUGCCCCAACGGGGCCCUAGUUCUUUCUUUCUUUCUUCUUUUUCCUCCCCUUUGAACUGGAAAAUGGCCCACUUCCCACUGGCGAAAACUCAUGAAAUUUGGAAGGACGACCGGGCCUGGUGAAAAAUUUGAUAUUCUGAAGUCGCCAAAACAAUAAAAUGCAAAAUGGCUCCAUAGCGCCCCCUAAGGUGGAAAUUCACACUAUUGACUGUCACGCCUGUACGCUUUGUCAUAUUGACACAAAAAUUGACACACAUAUGUAUCUCAAUAAGAUCUACAAAAAAGUCAGUGCGGCCGUAUCUGUCAAAUGUACGGUCAAAGGGUUAUUUCGCAUUUUUUGCCGAUCCGCACACAUUGGAAUUUCGCUAACUCCUCCGAAGGCUUUCGUUCCACCGGCACCACAUUUGCUCAGGCCAAUCUACACCCCGUGGCCAUUAAAAGUUAUCAAAAUCAUGACGCUGCACCCCAAGGUUUAGGUUCUAGGGGGCGCCAAAGAUAACACUAAAAUCCACAUAUUUAAAAGUCUUAUAACUUUUUAUUUUUGUCCUCACUGGCCUCCAAGUUUUCUAGGAUGAUGCAAUGUCCAGCCAUCAACACAUUUGUGAAGGAAUUUUUACUCCCCAAAAGAGCGCCCCCCCAUGGCAGGAGAAAAAAGUCCAUUUUUUCUUGUCCCCUAAGGUGAAAAUACACAUUGUUGAGUGUCACGCCUAUACGCUUUGUCAAAAUGACACAAAAAUUGACACACACAUGUAACUCAAUAAGAUCUACGAAAAAGUCAAUGCGCGCGUAUCUGUCAAAUGUACGGUUAAAGGGUUAUUCCGCAUUUUUUGCCGAUCCGCACACAUUGGAAUGUGGCUAACUCCUCCUAAGGCUUUCGUUCCACCGGCACCACAUUUGCUCAGGACAAUCUACACCCCAUGGCCAUUAAAAGUUAUUCAAAUCAUGACGCUGCACCCCACGGUUUAGGUUCUAGGGGGCGCCAAAGAUAACCCUAAAAUCCACAUAUUUAAAAGUCUUAUAACUUUUUAUUUUUGUCCUCACUGGCCUCCAAGUUUUCUAGGAUGAUGCAAUGUCCAGCCAUCAACACAUUUGUGAAGGAAUUUUUACUCCCCAAAAGAGCGCCCCCCCAUGGCAGGAGAAAAAAGUCCAUUUUUUCUUGUCCCCUAAGGUGAAAAUACAUAUUGUUGAGAUUCACGCCUAUACGCUUUGUCAUAUUGACACAAAAUUUGACAAUCACGUGCCUUGCCUGGUAUCAUUUUUCAGCACAACCUAACCUGUGCGAAUUUACAGUUAUUUUAUCAUGUUGACAUACUGAAUUUACACAAUGGACCCAAAUUCACACACAAAACAUAAAAUCCGAGUGGAAAAAAGUAACAUUUUUACUGUGAAAACCACAAAUAUGUGUGAUGAACUGUUUUUAAAACUUAAACUUCAAAUAAAAAUUGUAAACUUCAAAACAUAUGCAAAUUUUUAACAAAGAACAUAGUGAUUUACCUCUAUUUACAUCAAAAUGCAGGCAAUGGCCCAGGCGUUCUUUGUAAAAUUAUUUACAAAACACUGUAUAGUCUCACAAAUGUCACUUUUUAUUUAUGCCACUACAAAAAAACAUGAUGUAAAUGAUGCAUGAUGUAAAACAUGAUGUAAAAAACUUGUGUAGAUCCUCCUCUAUGUCAGUCCAUGUGUAAUUUUUCCAUAAUUCUUCUUUUUUUGCAGCAUUUUUGUUAGUGUAACUGCAGAUUGUGCUGACAGUGUCUAUGGCACAAAAAAAAAAAAAAAUUAAAAUGCCUCAACAUGAACCCCUGGUGGUCUCUGAGGGUGAAACCUGCUAACUGCUGCAGCUCUGUCAGCUUCAGUCUCCCAUGCAGAGCUCUGAGCGCAUGUGUGGCUCUGCACCCUUAGCAGCGUUGCUAACUCCUCAGUAAGGAAAGCCUGCUUCAUGUCAGAGUCUCUAAACUCCAGAAGAAGUCGAUAAAAGUCCCUUUCUUUCUAAAAAAAAGUCGUUAGGGGGUCUGAAAAGUCAUUGAAUCUAACAACAAAGUCGCUAGGUUUGCAACUACGUGUCCCAGACUGCAUCCCUGCUGAGAGUCCCUCCCUCCCUUCUCAUGUUGCAGGAAGAACGUAAGCGCCCGCCCCUUGUCUAUGGCUAUGUUUUCCUGUCUCAUACAGCGCGAUCGAGCGCCGAACGUGAUCAAAAUAAGCAGAAAAAAAGUAUCGCAAACAUAAUUUAUCAUAACUCUGGUUUUAUUUGGCCUAUCAACACAAUUUAAAAACUGGUAUAUAGGUUGAGGUCCUCACUUUUGAGAUAAGUUGAAACGGAGAGUCAACGAGGCUCCGUCUUGCAGCUACAUCCGGUUAAAUAUGUCAUGUGACUUGAACGCACACACAGACACACACACACCACACACACACACACACACACACACACACACACACACACACACACACUCAGAGUCUGGUUUUUAGCACCUGCAAAAACAUGCUAUUUACAUAUUUGACAAGAAUGCAGAGGCUCCUUUUGCCCCUGAAAAAAAUCAAAUUUCAAACACAACUUGACUGGUCAUUUCUCCAAAAGACAACCAUGAAGCUCCAUCCAAACCUGAAGCAGGCAGUUGGUGCAUGUGUACAGUAACCUGAGGGGAGUGAGGUGAGUGCUUCUGAGGAGAACAUGAGCAGUGAAGAUUCACCUUGGAGCUAGAACAGAGACAUGCACAUGAUUAUACAGGGGCAGGGGCUCAAGUUUUUUCCAGUCGUUUAUACAAUAUGGAAAUUAAUGUGAAAUUAAAACACAAAGUAUUAAUAGAAAGGUAAUGACUGUCCUGUGUAGGUGACAGUGAUAUCCAAUAGGCUAGGCACUCACGAGGCUGGCUGUGGCAAGUGUAAGUGAAAGCAACACGCACUGGCAGGAAGAACAGCAAACGCCGAUGAAGGAAAAGGGUCUUUGCAGUGAUGGGCGUUACCAGAGAGGGCGAUGGCCAGAGGACACAAAUGGGACGGGAAGGCAGCACGUUGGGGGGGGGGGGGGGGAAACGCGACACGGCUCGGGCCCGCCAGUGCCCCAACGGGGUCCUAGUUCUUCUUUUUCCUCCCCUUUGAACUGGAAAAUGGCCCACUUCCCACUGGCGAAAACUCAUGAAAUUUGGCAGGACGACCGGGCCUGGUGAAAAAUUCGAUAUUCUGAAGUCGCCCAAACAAUAAAAUGCAAAAUGGCUCCAUAGCGCCCCCUAAGGUGGAAAUUCACACUAUUGACUGUCACGCCUGUACGCUUUAUCAUAUUGACACAAAAAUUGAAACACAUAUGUAUCUCAAUAAGAUCUACAAAAAAGUCAGUGCGGCCGUAUCUGUCAAAAUUACGGUUAAAGGGUUAUUUCGCAUUUUUUGCCGAUCCGCACACAUUGGAAUUUCGCUAACUCCUCCGAAGGCUUUCGUUCCACCGGCACCACAUUUGCUCAGGCCAAUCUACACCCCAUGGCCAUUAAAAGUUAUCAAAAUCAUGACGCUGCACCCCAAGGUUUAGGUUCUAGGGGGCGCCAAAGAUAACACUAAAAUCCACAUAUUUAAAAGUCUUAUAACUUUUUAUUUUUGUCCUCACCGGCCUCCAAGUUUUCUAGGAUGAUGCAAUGUCCAGCCAUCAACACAUUUGUGAAGGAAUUUUUACUCCCCAAAAGAGCGCCCCCCCAUGGCAGGAGAAAAAAGUCCAUUUUUUCUUGUCCCCUAAGGUGAAAAUACACAUUGUUGAGUGUCACGCCUAUACGCUUUGUCAAAAUGACACAAAAAUUGACACACACAUGUAACUCAAUAAGAUCUACAAAAAAGUCAAUGCGCGCGUAUCUGUCAAAUGUACAGUUAAAGGGUUAUUCCGCAUUUUUUGCCGAUACGCACACAUUGGAAUUUCGCUAACUCCUCCGAAGGCUUUCGUUCCACCGGCACCACAUUUGCUCAGGCCAAUCUACACCCCAUGGCCAUUAAAAGUUAUUCAAAUCAUGAUGCUGCACCCCAUGGUUUAGGUUCUAGGGGGCGCCAAAAAUAACCCAAAAAUCCACAUUCUUAAAUGUUUUAUAACUUUUUAUUUUUGUCCUCACUGGCCUCCAAGUUUUCUAGGAUGAUGCAAUGUCCAGCCAUCAACACAUUUGUGAAGGAAUUUUUACUCCCCAAAAGAGCGCCCCCCAUGGUAGGAGAAAAAAGUCAAUUUUUUCUUGUCCCCUUACAUAAAAAUACACAUUGUUGAGUGUCACGCCUGAACGCUUUGUCAUAUUGACACAAAAAUUGACAAUCAUGUGUAUCUCAAUUAGAUCUACGAAAAAGUCAAAGAGCGCGUAUCUGUAUAAUGUACGGUUAAAGGGCUAUUUUGCAUUUUUUGCCGAUUCGCACACAUUGGAAUGUGGCUAUCUCCUCCUAAGGCUUUCGUCCCACCGAUACCAAAUUUGCUCAGGGCAAUCUACACCCCAUGCCCAUUCAAAGUUGUAAAAAUCAUGACGCUGCACCCCACGGUUUACGUUCUAGGGGGCGCCAAAGAUGACCCAAAAAUCCACAUUCUUAAAAGUCAUUUUGGCCACUGCAGGAGUACAGAGUACUGCAGUUCUAGGGGGCGCCAAAGAUGAACCAAAAAUCCACAUUCUUAAAAGUCUUUUUGGCCACUGCAGGAGUACAGAGUACUGCAGGAUACACACACAUAUACACACACGCCAACAUACACACACACACACACACACACACACACACACACACACACACAGACACACACACACACUCAGAGUCUGUUUUUUAGCACCUGCAAAAACAUGCUGUUUACAUAUUUGACAAGAAUGCAGAGGCUUCCUUUUGCCCCUGAAAAAAAUCAAAUUUCAAACACAACUUGACUGUUCAUUUCUCCAAAAGACAACCAUGAAGCUCCAUUUCAAACCUGAAGCAGAUAGUUGGUGCAUGUGUACAGUAACCUGAGGGGAGUGAGGUGACUAUUUCUGAGGAGAACAUGAGCAGUGAAGAUUCACCUUGGAGCUAGAACAGGGACGUGCACAUGAUUAUACAGGGGCAGGGGCUCAAGUUUUUUCCAGUCAUUUAUACAAUAUGGAAAUUAAUGUGAAAUUAAACCACAAAUAUGUGUGAUGAACUGUUUUUAAAACUUAAACUUCAAAUAAAAAUUGUAAACUUCAAAACAUAUGCAAAUUUUUAACAAAGAACAUAGUAAUUUACCUCUAUUUACAUCAAAAUGCAGGCAAUGGCCCAGGCGUUCUUUGUAAAAUUAUUUACAAAACACUGUAUAGUCUCACAAAUGUCACUUUUUAUUUAUGCCACUACAAAAAAACAUGAUGUAAAUGAUGCAUGAUGUAAAACAUGAUGUAAAAAACUUGUGUAGAUCCUCCUCUAUGUCAGUCCAUGUGUAAUUUUUCCAUAAUUCUUUGUUUUUUGCAGCAUUUUUGUUAGUGUAACUGCAGAUUGUGCUGACAGUGUCUAUGGCACAAAAAAAAAAUAAAUUUAAAAUGCCUCAACAUGAACCCCUGGUGGUCUCUGAGGGUGAAACCUGCUAACUGCUGCAGCUCUGUCAGCUUCAGUCUCCCAUGCAGAGCUCGGAGCGCAUGUGUGGCUCUGCACCCUUAGCAGCGUUGCUAACUCCUCAGUAAGGAAAGCCUGCUUCAUGUCAGAGUCUCUAAACUCCAGAAGAAGUCGAUAAAAGUCCCUUUCUUUCUAAAAAAAAGUCGUUAGGGGGUCUGAAAAGUCAUUGAAUCUAACAACAAAGUCGCUAGGUUUGCAACUACGUGUCCCAGACUGCAUCCCUGCUGAGAGUCCCUCCCUCGCUUCUCAUGUUGCAGGAAGAACGUAAGCGCCAGCCCCUUGUCAAUCAGUCACCAUAUAAUUUUGGAUUGGUUGUUGUGGUGAAGUUUUCCACCAAUAGGAGAGAUGUUGUGGUGUGUUUUUUUUUUCUUUUGGCAAGCCUUUUCCGCCUGUAAGACCUGUCGCUAAUGUCUGCAUGCUAUGUUUUCCUGUCUCAUACAGCGCGAUCGAGCGCCGAACGUGAUCAAAAUAAGCAGAAAAAAAGUAUCGCGGACAUAAUUUAUCAUAACUCUGGUUUUAUUUGGCCUAUCAACACAAUUUAAAAACUGGUAUAUAGGUUGAGGUCCUCACUUUUGAGAUAAGUUGAAACGGAGAGUCAACGAGGCUCCGUCUUGCAGCUACAUCCGGUUAAAUAUGUCAUGUGACUUGAACGCACACACAGACACACACACACGCACACACACACACACACACACACACACACACACACACACUCAGAGUCUGGUUUUUAGCACCUGCAAAAACAUGCUAUUUACAUAUUUGACAAGAAUGCAGAGGCUCCUUUUGCCCCUGAAAAAAAUCAAAUUUCAAACACAACUUGACUGGUCAUUUCUCCAAAAGACAACCAUGAAGCUCCAUCCAAACCUGAAGCAGGCAGUUGGUGCAUGUGUACAGUAACCUGAGGGGAGUGAGGUGAGUGCUUCUGAGGAGAACAUGAGCAGUGAAGAUUCACCUUGGAGCUAGAACAGAGACAUGCACAUGAUUAUACAGGGGCAGGGGCUCAAGUUUUUUCCAGUCGUUUAUACAAUAUGGUAAUUACUGUGAAAUUAAAACACAAAGUAUUAAUAGAAAGGUAAUGACUGUCCUGUGUAGGUGACAGUGAUAUCCAAUAGGCUAGGCACUCACGAGGCUGGCUGUGGCAAGUGUAAGUGAAAGCAACACGCACUGGCAGGAAGAACAGCAAACGCCGAUGAAGGAAAAGGGUCUUUGCAGUGAUGGGCGUUACCAGAGAGGGCGAUGGCCAGAGAACACAAAUGGGACGGGGAGGCAGCACGUUGGGGGGGGGACGCGACACGGCUCGGGCCCGCCAGUGCCCCAACGGGGUCCUAGUUAGGGCCCGAGCGUAGCUGCUAAGCAGCUGCGAGAGCCCUAUUAUUCCUGAUGGAUUCUUCUUUCUUCUUCUUAUUAGGGCCCGAGCCAGCUGCAGAGCAGCCGGGCGUAGGCCCUAUUAUUCCCCAAGUGGUUUUUCUUUGUUUCUUUCUUUCUUUCUUUCUUUCUUUCUUUCUUUCUUCUUUUUCCUCCCCUUUGAACUGGAAAAUGGCCCACUUCCCACUGGCGAAAACUCAUGAAAUUUGGCAGGACGACCGGGCCUGGUGAAAAAUUCGAUAUUCUGAAGUCGCCCAAACAAUAAAAUGCAAAAUGGCUCCAUAGCGCCCCCUAAGGUGGAAAUUCACACUAUUGACUGUCACGCCUGUACGCUUUGUCAUAUUGACACAAAAAUUGACACACAUAUGUAUCUCAAUAAGAUCUACAAAAAAGUCAGUGCGGCCGUAUCUGUCAAAAUUACGGUUAAAGGGUUAUUUCGCAUUUUUUGCCGAUCCGCACACAUUGGAAUUUCGCUAACUCCUCCGAAGGCUUUCGUUCCACCGGCACCACAUUUGAUCAGGCCAAUCUACACCCCGUGGCCAUUAAAAGUUAUCAAAAUCAUGACGCUGCACCCCAAGGUUUAGGUUCUAGGGGGCGCCAAAGAUAACACUAAAAUCCACAUAUUUAAAAGUCUUAUAACUUUUUAUUUUUGUCCUCACUGGCCUCCAAGUUUUCUAGGAUGAUGCAAUGUCCAGCCAUCAACACAUUUGUGAAGGAAUUUUUACUCCCCAAAAGAGCGCCCCCCCAUGGCAGGAGAAAAAAGUCCAUUUUUUCUUGUCCCCUAAGGUGAAAAUACACAUUGUUGAGUGUCACGCCUAUACGCUUUGUCAAAAUGACACAAAAAUUGACACACACAUGUAACUCAAUAAGAUCUACAAAAAAGUCCAUGCGCGCGUAUCUAUCAAAUGUACAGUUAAAGGGUUAUUCCGCAUUUUUUGCCGAUACGCACACAUUGGAAUUACGCUAACUCCUCCGAAGGCUUUCGUUCCACCGGCACCACAUUUGCUCAGGCCAAUGUACACCCCAUUGCCAUUAAAAGUUAUUCAAAUCAUGAUGCUGCACCCCAUGGUUUAGGUUCUAGGGGGCGCCAAAAAUAACCCAAAAAUCCACAUUCUUAAAUGUUUUAUAACUUUUUAUUUUUGUCCUCACUGGCCUCCAAGUUUUCUAGGAUGAUGCAAUGUCCAGCCAUCAACACAUUUGUGAAGGAAUUUUUACUCCCCAAAAGAGCGCCCCAUGGUAGGAGAAAAAAGUCAAUUUUUUCUUGUCCCCUUUCAUAAAAAUACACAUUGUUGAGUGUCACGCCUGAACGCUUUGUCAUAUUGACACAAAAAUUGACAAUCAUGUGUAUCUCAAUUAGAUCUACGAAAAAGUCAAAGAGCGCGUAUCUGUAUAAUGUACGGUUAAAGGGCUAUUUUGCAUUUUUUGCCGAUUCGCACACAUUGGAAUGUGGCUAUCUCCUCCUAAGGCUUUCGUCCCACCGAUACCAAAUUUGCUCAGGGCAAUCUACACCCCAUGCCCAUUCAAAGUUGUAAAAAUCAUGACGCUGCACCCCACGGUUUACGUUCUAGGGGGCGCCAAAGAUGACCCAAAAAUCCACAUUCUUAAAAGUCAUUUUGGCCACUGCAGGAGUACAGAGUACUGCAGUUCUAGGGGGCGCCAAAGAUGACCCAAAAAUCCACAUUCUUAAAAGUCUUUUUGGCCACUGCAGGAGUACAGAGUACUGCAGGAUACACACACAUAUACACACAUGCCAACAUACACACACACACACACACACACACACACACACACACACACACACACAGACACACACUCAGAGUCUGUUUUUUAGCACCUGCAAAAACAUGCUGUUUACAUAUUUGACAAGAAUGCAGAGGCUUCCUUUUGCCCCUGAAAAAAAUCAAAUUUCAAACACAACUUGACUGUUCAUUUUUCCAAAAGACAACCAUGAAGCUCCAUUUCAAACCUGAAGCAGAUAGUUGGUGCAUGUGUACAGUAACCUGAGGGGAGUGAGGUGACUAUUUCUGAGGAGAACAUGAGCAGUGAAGAUUCACCUUGGAGCUAGAACAGGGACGUGCACAUGAUUAUACAGGGGCAGGGGCUCAAGUUUUUUCCAGUCAUUUAUACAAUAUGGAAAUUAAUGUGAAAUUAAACCACAAAUAUGUGUGAUGAACUGUUUUUAAAACUUAAACUUCAAAUAAAAAUUGUAAACUUCAAAACAUAUGCAAAUUUUUAACAAAGAACAUAGUAAUUUACCUCUAUUUACAUCAAAAUGCAGGCAAUGGCCCAGGCGUUCUUUGUAAAAUUAUUUACAAAACACUGUAUAGUCUCACAAAUGUCACUUUUUAUUUAUGCCACUACAAAAAAACAUGAUGUAAAUGAUGCAUGAUGUAAAACAUGAUGUAAAAAACUUGUGUAGAUCCUCCUCUAUGUCAGUCCAUGUGUAAUUUUUCCAUAAUUCUUUGUUUUUUGCAGCAUUUUUGUUAGUGUAACUGCAGAUUGUGCUGACAGUGUCUAUGGCACAAAAAAAAAAAUUAAAAUGCCUCAACAUGAACCCCUGGUGGUCUCUGAGGGUGAAACCUGCUAACUGCUGCAGCUCUGUCAGCUUCAGUCUCCCAUGCAGAGCUCUGAGCGCAUGUGUGGCUCUGCACUCUUAGCAGCGUUGCUAACUCCUCAGUAAGGAAAGCCUGCUUCAUGUCAGAGUCUCUAAACUCCAGAAGAAGUCGAUAAAAGUCCCUUUCUUUCUAAAAAAGUCGUUAGGGUGUCUGAAAAGUAAUUGAAUCUAACAACAAAGUCGCUAGGUUUGCAACUACGUGUCCCAGACUGCAUCCCUGCUGAGAGUCCCUCCCUCCCUUCUCAUGUUGCAGGAAGAACGUAAGCGCCCGCCCCUUGUCAAUCAGUCACCAUAUAAUUUUGGAUUGGUUGUUGUGGUGAAGUUUUCCACCAAUAGGAGAGAUGUUGUGGUGUGUUUUUUUUUUCUUUUGGCAAGCCUUUUCCGCCUGUAAGACCUGUCGCUAAUGUCUGCAUGCUAUGUUUUCCUGUCUCAUACAGCGCGAUCGAGCGCCGAACGUGAUCAAAAUAAGCAGAAAAAAAGUAUCGCGGACAUAAUUUAUCAUAACUCUGGUUUUAUUUGGCCUAUCAACACAAUUUAAAAACUGGUAUAUAGGUUGAGGUCCUCACUUUUGAGAUAAGUUGAAACGGAGAGUCAACGAGGCUCCGUCUUGCAGCUACAUCCGGUUAAAUAUGUCAUGUGACUUGAACGCACACAUAGACACACACACACGCACACACACACACACACACACACACACACACACACACACACUCAGAGUCUGGUUUUUAGCACCUGCAAAAACAUGCUAUUUACAUAUUUGACAAGAAUGCAGAGGCUCCUUUUGCCCCUGAAAAAAAUCAAAUUUCAAACACAACUUGACUGGUCAUUUCUCCAAAAGACAACCAUGAAGCUCCAUCCAAACCUGAAGCAGGCAGUUGGUGCAUGUGUACAGUAACCUGAGGGGAGUGAGGUGAGUGCUUCUGAGGAGAACAUGAGCAGUGAAGAUUCACCUUGGAGCUAGAACAGAGACAUGCACAUGAUUAUACAGGGGCAGGGGCUCAAGUUUUUUCCAGUCGUUUAUACAAUAUGGAAAUUAAUGUGAAAUUAAAACACAAAGUAUUAAUAGAAAGGUAAUGACUGUCCUGUUCUAGGUGACAGUGAUAUCCAAUAGGCUAGGCACUCACGAGGCUGGCUGUGGCAAGUGUAAGUGAAAGCAACACGCACUGGCAGGAAGAACAGCAAACGCCGAUGAAGGAAAAGGGUCUUUGCAGUGAUGGGCGUUACCAGAGAGGACGAUGGCCAGAGGACGCGAAUGGGACGGGGAGGCAGCGCGUUGGGGGGGGGGGGGGGCGACACAGCUCGGGCCCGCCAGUGCCCCAACGGGGCCCUAGUUAUUAUUUUUCUGCCCCUUUGAACUGGAAAAUGGCCCACUUCCCACUGGUGAAAACUCAUGAAAUUUGGCAGGACGACCGGGCCUGGUGAAAAAUUCGAUAUUCUGAAGUCAUCCAAACAAUCAAAUGCAAAAUGGCUCCAUAGCGCCCCCUAAGGUGAAAAAUUCACAUGAUUGAGUGUCACGCCUGUACGCUUUGUCAAAAUGACACAAAAUUUGACACACACGUGUAUCUCAAUAAGAUCUACAAAAAAGUCAGUGCGGGCGUAUCUGUCAAAUGUACGGUUAAAGGGCUAUUUCGCAUUUUUUGCCGAUCCACACACAUUGGAAUUUCGCUAACUCCUCCGAAGGCUUUCGUUCCAAAGGCACCACAUUUGCUCAGGCCAAUCUACACCCCAUGGCCAUUAAAAGUUGUACAAAUCAUGACGCUGCACCCCACGGUUUACGUUCUAGGGGGCGCCAAAGAUAACCCAAAAAUCCACAGUCUUAAAAGUCUUAUAACUUUUUAUUUUUGUCCUCACUGGCCUCCAAGUUCUCUAGGAUGAUGCAAUGUCCAGCCAUCAACACAUUUGUGAAGGAAUUUUUACUCGCCAAAGAGCGCCCCCCCAUGGCAGGAGAAAAAAGUCCAUUUUUUCUUGUCUCCUAAGGCGAAAAUUCACACUAUUGAGUGUCACGCCUAUACGCUUUGUCAUAUUGACACAAAAAUUGACACACACAUGUAUCUCAAUAAGAUCUACAAAAAAGUCAGUCAUGCGGGCGUAUCUGUCAAAUGUACGGUUAAAGGGCUAUUUCGCAUUUUUUGCCGAUCCGCACACAUUGGAAUUUCGCUAACUCCUCCGAAGGCUUUCGUUCCAAAGGCACCACAUUUGCUCAGGCCAAUCUACACCCCAUGGCCAUUAAAAGUUGUACAAAUCAUGACGCUGCACCCCACGGUUUACGUUCUAGGGGGCGCCAAAGAUAACCCAAAAAUCCACAGUCUUAAAAGUCUUAUAACUUUUUAUUUUUGUCCUCACUGGCCUCCAAGUUCUCUAGGAUGAUGCAAUGUCCAGCCAUCAACACAUUUGUGAAGGAAUUUUUACUCGCCAAAAGAGCGCCCCCCCAUGGCAGGAGAAAAAAGUCCAUUUUUUCUUGUCUCCUAAGGCGAAAAUACACAUUGUUGACUGUCACGCCUUUACGCUUUGUCAAAAUGACACAAAAUUUGACAAUAACAUGUAUCUCAAUAAGAUCUACGAAAAAGUCAAUGUGAGCGUAUCUGUUCAAUGUACGGUUAAAGGGCUAUUUCGCAUUUUUGGCCGAUUCGCACACAUUGGAAUGUGGCUAACUCCUCCUAAAUCUUUUGUCCCAUCGGCUUCAAAUUUGCUCAGGUCAAUCUACACCCCAUGGCCAUUCAAAGUUGUACAAAUCAUGACACUGCACCCCACAGUUUACGUUCUAGGGGGCGCCAAAGAGGACCCAAAUAUCCACAUUUUUAAAAGUCUUAUAACUUUUUAUUUUUGUCCUCACUGGCCUCCAAGUUUUCUAGGAUGAUGCAAUGUCCAGCCAUCAACACAUUUGUGAAGGAAAUUUUUCUCCCCAAAAGAGCGCCCCCCCAUGGCAGGAGAAAAAGUCAAGUUUUCCUGCCCAUCGCUCAAUGGCUCAAACGCAUCGCUCUCUCGGCAAAACCGAAAGGAGGAGCAACUUGCCAUUUGGAUAUAUACUAGCUGUGUUUGUGCCCUCACUCAUGGUCCAGACUUUUUUCAAAAAGGACAUGGAGUUUGUCUGCAGCGAGCGUUUUGGUAGAAACUGCGCCUCCCAUUCAUUAUAAUGGUAAAUGACCACAGACAAGUGCGCACACCAUCUUUGGACCUUGAGUGUGACGCGAUCGGGAGGGGUAGGCGGUCGCGCUGGGGGCGGCACGACACGGCUCGGGCCCGCCAGUGCCCCAACGGGGCCCUAGUUUCUUUUUCCUCCCCUUUGAACUGGAAAAUGGCCCACUUCCCACUGGCGAAAACUCAUGAAAUUUGGCAGGACGACCGGGCCUGGUGAAAAAUUUGAUAUUCUGAAGUCGCCCAAACAAUACAAUGCAAAAUGGCUCCAUAGCGCCCCCUAAGGUGAAAAAUUCACCUGACGCCUGUACGCUUUGUCAAAAUGACACAAAAAUUGACACACACAUGUAUCUCAAUAAGAUCUACAAAAAAGUCAGUGCGGGCGUAUCUGUCAAAUGUACGGUUAAAGGGUUAUUGCGCAUUUUUUGCCGAUCCGCACACAUUGGAAUUUCGCUAACUCCUCCGAAGGCUUUCGUUUCACCGGCACCACAUUUGCUCAGGCCAAUCUACACCCCAUGGCCAUUAAAAGUUAUUCAAAUCAUGACGCUGCACCCCACGGUUUAGGUUCUAGGGGGCGCCAAAGAUAACCCUAAAAUCCACAUAUUUCAAAGUCUUAUAACUUUUUAUUUUUGCCCUCACUGGCCUCCAAGUUUUCUAGGAUGAUGCAAUGUCCAGCCAUCAACACAUUUGUGAAGGAAUUUUUACUCCCCAAAAGAGCGCCCCCCCAUGGCAGGAGAAAAAAGUCCAUUUUUUCUUGUCCCAUAAGGUGAAAAUUCACACUAUUGACUGUCACGCCUGUACGCUUUGUCAAAAUUACACAAAAAUUGACACACACAUGUAUCUCAAUAAGAUCUACAAAAAAGUCAAUGCUGGCGUAUCUGUCAAAUGUACGGUUAAAGGGUUAUUGCGCAUUUUUUGCCGAUCCGCACACAUUGGAAUUUCGCUAACUCCUCCGAAGGCUUUCGUUCCACCGGCACCACAUUUGCUCAGGCCAAUCUACACCCCAUGGCCAUUAAAAGUUAUUCAAAUCAUGACGCUGCACCCCACGGUUUAGGUUCUAGGGGGCGCCAAAGAUAACCCUAAAAUCCACAUAUUUAAAAGUCUUAUAACUUUUUAUUUUUGUCCUCUCUGGCCUCCAAGUUUUCUAGGAUGAUGCAAUGUCCAGCCAUCAACACAUUUGUGAAGGAAUUUUUACUCUCCAAAAGAGCGCCCCCCAUGGCAGGAGAAAAAAGUCCAUUUUUUCUUGUCCCAUAAGGUGAAAAUACACAUUGUUGACUGUCAUACCUGUAUGCUUUGUCAUAUUGACACAAAAUUUGACACACACAUGUAUCUCAAUAAGAUCUACGAAAAAGUCAAUGCGCGGGUAUCUGUAAAAUGUAUGGUUAGAGGGCUAUUUUGCAUUUUUUGCCGAUUAGCACACAUUGGAAUGUGGCUAACUCCUCCUAAGGCUUUCGUCCCACUGACACCAAAUUUGCUCAGGCCAAUCUACACCCCAUGGCCAUUCAAAGUUUUAAAAAUCAUGACGCUGCACCCCACGGUUUACGUUCUAGGGGGCGCCAAAGAUGACCCAAAUAUCCACAUUCUUAAAAGAAUCCACAUCCCCCCCAUCCCCCAUCCCCCAUCCCCCAUGGCAGGAGAAACAGUCAAGUUUUUCCUGCCCAUCACUCAAUGGCUCAAUCGCAUCGCUCUCCCGGCAACACCGUAACGAGGAGCAACUUGCCGUUUGGAUAUAUCCUAGCUGUGUUUGUGCCCUCACUCAUGGUCCAGACUUUUUUCAAAUAGGACAUGUAGUUUGUCUGCAGCGAGUGUUUUGGUAGAAACUGCGCCUCCCAUUCAUUAUAAUGGGAAAUGACCACAGACAAGUGCGCACACCAUCUUUGGACCUUGAGUGUGACGCGAUCGGGAGGGGGAGGCGGUCGCACUGGGGGCGGCGCAACGCAGCUCGGGCCCGCCAGUGCCCCAACGGGGCCCUAGUUAGGGCCCGAGCGUAGCUGCUAAGCAGCUGCGAGAGCCCUAUUAUUCCCCAAGUGGUUUUUCUUUGUUUCUUUUUUCUUUUUCCUCCCCUUUGAACUGGAAAAUGGCCCACUUCCCACUGGCGAAAACUCAUGAAAUUUGGCAGGACGACCGGGCCUGGUGAAAAAUUUGAUAUUCUGAAGUCGCCCAAACAAUACAAUGCAAAAUGGCUCCAUAGCGCCCCCUAAGGUGAAAAAUUCACCUGACGCCUGUACGCUUUGUCAAAAUGACACAAAAAUUGACACACACAUGUAUCUCAAUAAGAUCUACAAAAAAGUCAGUGCGGGCGUAUCUGUCAAAUGUACGGUUAAAGGGUUAUUGCGCAUUUUUUGCCGAUCCGCACACAUUGGAAUUUCGCUAACUCCUCCGAAGGCUUUCGUUCUACCGGCACCACAUUUGCUCAGGCCAAUCUACACCCCAUGGCCAUUAAAAGUUAUUCAAAUCAUGACGCUGCACCCCACGGUUUAGGUUCUAGGGGGCGCCAAAGAUAACCCUAAAAUCCACAUAUUUCAAAGUCUUAUAACUUUUUAUUUUUGCCCUCACUGGCCUCCAAGUUUUCUAGGAUGAUGCAAUGUCCAGCCAUCAACACAUUUGUGAAGGAAUUUUUACUCCCCAAAAGAGCGCCCCCCCAUGGCAGGAGAAAAAAGUCCAUUUUUUCUUGUCCCAUAAGGUGAAAAUUCACACUAUUGACUGUCACGCCUGUACGCUUUGUCAAAAUUACACAAAAAUUGACACACACAUGUAUCUCAAUAAGAUCUACAAAAAAGUCAGUGCUGGCGUAUCUGUCAAAUGUACAGUUAAAGGGGUAUUGCGCAUUUUUUGCCGAUCCGCACACAUUGGAAUUUCGCUAACUCCUCCGAAGGCUUUCGUUCCACCGGCACCACAUUUGCUCAGGCCAAUCUACACCCCAUGGCCAUUAAAAGUUAUUCAAAUCAUGACGCUGCACCCCACGGUUUAGGUUCUAGGGGGCGCCAAAGAUAACCCUAAAAUCCACAUAUUUAAAAGUCUUAUAACUUUUUAUUUUUGUCCUCUCUGGCCUCCAAGUUUUCUAGGAUGAUGCAAUGUCCAGCCAUCAACACAUUUGUGAAGGAAUUUUUACUCCCCAAAAGAGCGCCCCCCCAUGGCAGGAGAAAAAAGUCCAUUUUUUCUUGUCCCAUAAGGUGAAAAUACACAUUGUUGACUGUCAUACCUGUAUGCUUUGUCAUAUUGACACAAAAUUUGACACACACAUGUAUCUCAAUAAGAUCUACGAAAAAGUCAAUGCGCGCGUAUCUGUAAAAUGUACGGUUAAAGGGCUAUUUUGCAUUUUUUGCCGAUUAGCACACAUUGGAAUGUGGCUAACUCCUCCUAAGGCUUUCGUCCCACUGACACCAAAUUUGCUCAGGCCAAUCUACACCCCAUGGCCAUUCAAAGUUUUAAAAAUCAUGACGCUGCACCCCACGGUUUACGUUCUAGGGGGCGCCAAAGAUGACCCAAAUAUCCACAUUCUUAAAAGAAUCCACAUCCCCCCCCCCCCCCCAUCCCCCAUCCCCCAUCCCCCAUGGCAGGAGAAACAGUCAAGUUUUUCCUGCCCAUCACUCAAUGGCUCAAUCGCAUCGCUCUCCCGGCAACACCGUAACGAGGAGCAACUUGCCGUUUGGAUAUAUCCUAGCUGUGUUUGUGCCCUCACUCAUGGUCAAGACUUUUUUCAAAUAGGACAUGUAGUUUGUCUGCAGCGAGUGUUUUGGUAGAAACUGCGCCUCCCAUUCAUUAUAAUGGGAAAUGACCACAGACAAGUGCGCACACCAUCUUUGGACCUUGAGUGUGACGCGAUCGGGAGGGGGAGGCGGUCGCACUGGGGGCGGCGCAACGCGGCUCGGGCCCGCCAGUGCCCCAACGGGGCCCUAGUUUCUUCUUUUUCCUCCCCUUUGAACUGGAAAAUGGCCCACUUCCCACUGGCGAAAACUCAUGAAAUUUGGCAGGAUGACCGGGCCUGGUGAAAAAUUUGAUAUUCCGAAGUCGCCCAAACAAGAAAAUGCAAAAUGGCUCCAUAGCGCCCCCUAAGGUGAAAAUUCACACUAUUGACUGUCACGCCUUUACGCUUUGUCAAAAUGACACAAAAAUUGACACACAUAUGUAUCUCAAUAAGAUCUACAAAAAAGUCAGUGCGGGCGUAUCUGUCAAAUGUACGGUAAAAGGGUUAUUUCGCAUUUUUUGCCGAUCCGCACACAUUGGAAUUUCGCUAACUCCUCCGAAGGCUUUCGUUCCACCGGCACCACAUUUGCUCAGGCCAAUCUACACCCCAUGGCCAUUAAAAGUUAUUCAAAUCAUGACGCUGCACCCCACGGUUUAGGUUCUAGGGGGCGCCAAAGAUAACCCUAAAAUCCACAUAUUUAAAAGUCUUAUAACUUUUUAUUUUUGCCCUCACUGGCCUCCAAAUUUUCUAGGAUGAUGCAAUGUCCAGCCAUCAACACAUUUGUGAAGGAAUUUUUACUCCCUAAAAGAGCGCCCCCCCAUGGCAGGAGAAAAAAGUCCAUUUUUUCUUGUCCCCUAAGGUGAAAAUACACAUUGUUGAGUGUCACGCCUGUACGCUUUGUCAAAAUGACACAAAAAUUGACACACACAUGUAUCUCAAUAAGAUCUACAAAAAAGUC